rnacentral:lncRNA from 1 species
CUACACUCUAUACCUAGGGGAACGCCUACAAUGAGCUGAAGAAAAAAAAAACAACGCCUAAGGGGAGAGCUACAACCGCAAUAGACACGACCCCCAGGAACUUCACCUUCCUCGUCGCACCCCACCUCCAAACACCAACAGAGCUCACCUCAAAAAUAAUAGAGAGCAGCGGCGCAUCUCCCCUGGAUUUUCCUCCAUUUUUCCCUUCUUCUUCUACAAUCACAAUAAUCAAACCCCUCCCCCCCCCCCCACAUUAGAAGACAAAAGAAUCAGAAGCUCACUCACGUGCCUUCACUAAUUCAGAAGUAAGAAUCCGAAAUUCAAAACUAGGAAAAAGAAUCGAGCUCUAGAAUGAGAUUUUGGGAACUUUUCUUUGGGUCUUAAAGCUUUCGAAGGUCCAAUUGGUCUGGGUUCCCAUCGUUUUCUGUUGUUUGAUUGCUGGAUUUCUGCUAAGCUUCGGUCUUGGUUCGUGAGUGCCGAACAAGUUUGUUGCCAUGACUGCUGUAGAGAUUUUGUACCAAUGUUAACAUUGAAUAGAUUGAUGGAAGUUCUCUUCAAAGGUCCUUUCCUUUGUCUAUUUGUUUCCAUAUAUUUUUUGCUUUAGUCAUUUUCUCUUAAAUGAUCUGUUGUUCUUGACAUAUUUAGUUCUUUUUGAUUAUUUAAGUUUGAUUUAGUUUAGUCUUAUAUCUCUUUUGAUUAACUAUGGAAAUUGAGUGAUUGGUAUUGGCUAAUAAAAAGUCAAUUUAGUCAUGAAUUGCUAGAAUAAUGGUUCAUCUAUCGAUUGGGUCAUGGGAAUUUUGGUUGAUAAUGUGAUGCCAACAAGAUUUGGAUUUUGGUAUUGAAUAUUAUUUGUUGGAUUUAAUGAGCCAUGGGUUUAAUGAACUUAUUCGGCAACAUUCUGAUUUCCACCACUUCUUCAAGCCCAUAUAAAAUGUGAGACAUAUUUUUAUAGUUGUCCAAUUGCUUGAUUCCAAAUAAAUUUGGUUCCAAUAAAAAACUUAGUUAUAAAUUUCGAACAUAUUAGUGCAAAUUAGUGUAUAAUUGUGCAGCAAAUGAGGAUGUCAGUGUUUGCCUUUAAUAACAUGGAAAUGGCGUAGGAAUUUUGAUUUGCGCCCUUUGAAAGGCGUAGGAAAUGGCGUAGUAUGUUUCCUGAGUUUGUUUUUGUUUCUUAGCCUCUUCUUUUUAAAUCAGAAUGGUAUCACAUUUAGCAAUCUUUCCAUGUUCUAUUUUUUUUAAUGUUUGUGUUAAAAAGCUUGAGUAUGUUUUAUGUUUCUGUUGGUCUUUAGUUUACAUUAGUGUAAAUUGGAGAUGAAUCAAAAAAGGUAGAAAUUGAAAUUCUGUGAUUCGAUUGGUUCGUGUGGGUUAAGCACGUUCGGACUCAAAUGUUUGGUAUUCCUUGUUUUAUUUUUAGGCCCUUUAAUUAGCUUGAGGCAUGCCAUAUUAGCCAAACAUAUAUUUUAUGGUCCUCAAAAUUAGUUCGAACAUCCUUUGAAGUUAGGAUCGAGGUGUGCCAUAGUGCAAGAUUGGAUAACUCAUGGCCCUUAGAUAAUUAAUAUGAACUCUUUUAAAGUUGAGGUGUGCCAUUAGUUGAAUUUUUCAUGGCCCUCGCAAACUUGAAAGUGGGUAGUUGCUUUAGGCGCGCGUAUUUUAAUAAUAUUACCCUCCUAAACUGGGGUGCGCAUUUAUGUGACCCAAAUCCAAAUCUCAACAACGUUGGAUAAAAUGUGUCGGGGACCGCGGGUGCAUUUAUUUGACGUGGUUCAAGACGUAUUUUAAAUGACGUUGCAAUCUUCCUUAAAAAUGAUCAAAAGCGGUUAAUUAGUUAAAAUUGUAUCAUAGACUAAAACAUGUACGAAAAUCAGAUAAUAGGCUAAUUAUAACAGUUGAGCGACCGUGCUAGAACCACGGAACCCGGGAAUGCCUAAUACCUUCUCCCGGGUUAACAGAAUUCCUUACCUGAAUUUUUGUGUUCGCAGACUGUAAUACAGAGUCAAUCUUUUCCUCGAUCGGGAUUUGAACCGGUGACUUGGGACACCAUAAAAUUAUCCCAAGUGGCGACUCUGAAUUUUUUUAAUAAAAUAAUCCCGUUUCGAUUGUCACUUUAAGUUGGAAAAAACUCACUUAUAUACUCCCUUCCGGGGGUAUGAGGAAAAAGGAGGUGUGACAAUCCUCAUAGACCUCUAACACCUGAGAGGUGACCCUUUUCGAGUGUUCUUUGGUGGGAUCAGAGGAAUGAGGAGAAAUGAGGUUCUCAACAUAUGGAAAGGAGACAGAGUUUGAUAGAAAAGGAAAACAAUAGGAAAUGAGGAGGAAAUAAGUGUGGGUGCAGUAGUAUUGGAGGGAGUGGAAGAGUGAAUUUCUGGAGAUGACUUUAAGGAUGAUAGGGAAGUGGAAGCGGUGUUGAUGGGGGAAAAAGGAAGCGAUCGUUCGAUUGCCAUUAUAGGAGGAUUUGAUAGGGAAGUUGAUGAGAAAGAGAUGGGGAGAGGAUCAUAUAGAUACAAAGGAGAUUAAGGUUCAUGACUUGCUGUGAGAGGAAAAAAAAAGUUUUAUGGGAAGAAGGGCUAAUGAUGAGAAAAGGGAGAGAAACGAGUUCUGAACAAUCCUGAAAACGGCAGUAGGUUUGUGGGAAAACGUUAUCGUGCAGAGGGAAUGAAGGGAUUUGAAAGACAAGACAUGCAGAUUUUGAAAAGUUGGAUGAUGUGGCAUUUGAAUUAAUUUUGUUAACCCUUUUUGAGAAAGCAUGCAAAACAACACAUUAUUACUAACCUUUGGUACAUGAACCUAAUGCCUGACCAAUUUUUGAAAAAGGUUUUAGCAGCUCUUCUUUCGCAAUUCAUAAUUGCACCUUUAGCUUCCUUGAUCACCAUGCGUGUUUACCUGCAACGAUAUCGAUGUGAGUUAGGCUUUGCUAUAAAAUACUUUAGCUCAUUUUACCUGAAGGUGAUUUUCAUAGCCAACUAAUGGAGAAUCGGGUUCUCAACUUGGCUUCAAUACCCCCAGCUUCACCUUGUUUCUUUCAGAGAGUUCCCUACGCAAGGCUUUGGUGAAGAUAUCUAGAAUUUGGUCUUCUGUGUUGCAGAUCUUCAUACAGAUCAACCUUUUCUCCACAUUGUCCUUCAGACAAUGAUGCCUCACAUUAACGUGUUUGAUCCUUUUGUGUUGAACUGGAUUCUUGGCCAAGUUGAGCAUAACAGUGUUGUCAUAUAGAAGAGGCACCCAAUCAGUGAAUACUCUAAAAUCCUCCAGUUGCUGCUUAAUCCAUAAGAGUUGAGCACAAUAAGAUACUGCAGCUACAUAUUCUGCUUCAGCCGUUUCAGGGACCACUGGUUUACUGCCUUGUGCACCAAAAGAUGAAACAUGAUCAUAGAAAGUGGCCAUUCCAAAAGUGCUUUUCCUAUCCAAAAGAUAACCUGCAUAGUUAGCAUUAGCAUACCCAAUGGGAUUUAAAGUUGUCACCUGAGGGGUAAUACAGGACCAGGUCCUGAGUUUUCUUAAGGUAUCUCAAAACUCUUUUGGCAGUCUUCAAGUAAGAUCCCUUGAAAUUUGAUUUUGGAUUCUGUUUGGAAUAAAAGUACAGAAGGGUCUAUGGGAUUUUUUUUUUGAAUUUUGAUUCUUGUCUAGAUUCAGAAUGAAGGGGAGUAAUUGUGUUAUCAAGUAGGUGGGAGCUUUUGUGUUUCCAAGUGGGGACUGAAGUUUGAUUAGUAGAGAACCUGAGUAAAUUAAGUAGAUUUCCCUGCACUCCUUGUUCUACUACUUGUGGAAUAUCUUACCCCGCAUCUCCACUAGUUUCUUCAGCUUCAAUGGUAGUAAAUGAAGUACCAGGUUCCUCGUGCGAUAUGGAAGAGGAUUGUUUACCAUGAAAAUGGUAAUAGCAAUUAAAUUUGUUGAUGGAAUUCUAAAAAUACAUGAUCUAUUUUUAUGCUAGUUUGUUAAGCAGUUGGUGCUAAACGUAUGAGAUUUAGAAAUGAAAUAAAGUUAAGGAGAGAGCUAUAAUCGAACCGAUAUGUCAAUUAUUCGGGGCCUCAGGCUUGUCGAUUCUAGGCCUCGAGGUCGAUCCCGGAGUUCGAUUACGAGCUAUCGAAGACAAUUGCUAUGUGACUAACAGUUAUAAUAGAAUCAAUGGAAGCUCUUUAUAACCAAUGAUAGGCAAUAAAUGAUGAACAAAUAUGAAGACAAUAAAUGAAAGCAAUGAUAUCAAGAGAGUGCAUGAGAGAGCAAAGAGAAUGUUCUUCUAUAUUUCUUAUGGAGCAACUGGAGCCACAGAGUGUUACAAAGUGUCAAGGAUCCCCUUAUAUAGGAGGGGAAAUUCCAACAUAGUACAAAAUACAUUAAUGAUAAAGAAAUCAGGGUGGGACAGCUGGCUAACUUCAUGAUGCAGGCUCAGACUAGCUUCAGACUAGCCUGACAGAUUUUGCGGGCCCUGGCUGCACUCUUCAGGAACUCCCCAUAUCUGAGGUCGCGGCCAACAUUACCCUAGGUCGGGUGCCGAUGGACCUCGAGGGAGGGUACUCAGUCUGUGGUCUUGAGACUUCGAGGUGAUCUUCUGAGAUGCCUUAUCAACGAGAAAUUGGUUCCUCCAAUUUCACCAUAUACAGAUAGUCCCCGCGUUUCUUAGAGAGAAGCGACAAGAAAUGAUUUUGACAUUCGACUCUUCGGACUUCCUGUGAUGACGUCAUACUGAUGACACAAGCCUCCAUGAUUACCGAAACAUUUCGUCAUUUCACUUCUCUAGGAUCAUUAGACGUAUUGCAGUUUCUCAUUAUCCAAGCCAUAAUGUCACUAUCGAUUGAGCUUCCAGGGAUGCAUUAAAUAUGCCUGUCAUUACAUUUUUCAAGGGCGAUAAUGGCGCCGUCGGUUACGUUGCCCCUUUCUAUAAAUGGGGGCCUCCUUGGAUCAGCCUUUUAUCCAAGUACCUAUCCAUUCCUCCUUUCUCGCUAUCUUUAUUCUUUGUUGUUCACCAUGUUUAAGGCACAUGGCCUCAAGAUUGUAUGGCGGUACUUCUAUCGGGAAUGCCAUGGCCUGUCUCCUGGACCUUCUUUGGUCGAGCGAGAUUACACUAUUUUUUUUUUGUUGUUGUUGUUGCUAUCGUCGUUGGCUCGGGACGACGAAGCAGAGGGCCGAUUUCCUCCGACCCAAGGAAAUAUUUGGAUUAUACACAGCUACUCAAGAGGGGGCUCAGACUAUACACCGCUGCUCACCUCCCGUGAUUAUCCGGUUCAGCGCCUCACUCCCUUUGCUUUCCAUGGAGUGAGGUUGUACUAUCUACUAACUAUUGCAGCCUGCACCGGGGAAAUGUCUCAAGAAGUGACUUUACAAUAAUAGCCUGGUGAAAUUCAUACUAGCCAGAUUUUUCACCCAGCCACUUCUUCGUUCCUUCUUGCCUUUUCCGCGUCACUUUGUUCUUCUCCAUCGCUUUCCUCUUCAUCGUCUCCACUAUUGAAGAUGCCAUCCUGGGGAAUCGAGAUAAGACUCCCAAAGGGAUUGUGCUUGGAAGAUAUUGUAUUUGAGGAUGCGUGCCUAAGGAGAUGAUGCCCAAAAUUGUUGCUGCCGAGGACGCACCUUUGAGAAUACGAUAGGCUCUUAGGCUUUUACUAUAUGUACACCUUCUUGCUUCUUUUCUGUGUAAAGACCCCUCAUGGGCUUUUGUAAUCAUAUGUAAGGACCCCUCGUGGGCUUUUGUAAUCGAAUGUUUCAUGAAUACAAAGAUAUUUCUCCAAUUUAUCUUUGAUGCUUGCUAUAUUCUUUUAUGUCUGUGGAGACUCUGAAUGCAUGACUCUGUGUGUUGUUGCCAAUAUCAAGCCCAAGUGUGAAUAUUCUUUCUGGCCUUUGGUUGAUUAAUAUGGCCUCGCAUGGAACCUUUUGUGAUCCAUUGGAUUGAACCUGGAUCGAGCCGAUGAGCUCGGGUCGCCGGGACCUUAACUUCGAGUAGAAUGAAAGUAACGUUUUGGGUCUUGAAACAAUGAUUUAUUGCUUAAACUCCAUGGUAACCUUUGAGAAGAGAUUUGAUCGGAGGCCUGUGGACAGGGACUACCUUUGAUCUCUCGAGGGCAGUCCCCAAAAGGAGGUUCGUUCAAAUUCGGAUUACUUGGAAACUCGCUUUGAGCUUAGUGUAAAUAGCCUUAAGGCGCUGUAGAUAGAUCUUGAAAGAGGGUUUGUCCGAUCUCAGACGGUACUCCGAGGCCAAGCCCAUACGGGUGGAGCUUAAAUGCUUAUUUCCUUGGAGCCUGAUUCCCUUUUGACAAAAGCCCCCAAGGUUAGGUACCACCUCGGGUCUCGUAAUGAUGUCAUUGGUUUCCUGGAACCUAACCUUCCCUUUGAUAGAGGUCCUCGAGGUCGGGUGCCACCUUGGUGCCGACGAAGGCAUCAUCGGCUUGUUGGAGCCUAGCCUCGUACUGAUGGAGAUCCACGAGGUCGGGUGCCACCUCGGGACUGACAAAGGUGUUUUUAGUCAGUUUCGAGGCAAGCAGAUCGUCGCCAUUUUUUCCAUGAGUAUAUAUACAGGGAUGUUUUUACUUUUUGGAGAUCCCACCAUUUCAAGCGGUUGCCUUUCUCUUUCUGCGUCAAUCCUUUCGUUAUUUCAGUACUAAUGUACUUGCACAUAUUCCUAUUUUAGUUCUCCAAUUUUUCCAUGUUCAUGACCGCUGCAUCGGGGUCUGCCCAGAAGAGAGAGGAGAGCUCCACCUCCGGCAUUUAGGACCAACGAGAGUAUGCCUUGAAGGUUGCUUCUUUGAUAGGAGAAAAACAUCUUGGGUUAGUGAGAAAAGACUACGGAUGGGGGAGGGGAAGGUAGUGUUAUAGAUACUUUCCCCGGGUGAGUGCAUCACGGAUUGUGCCGAUGGAUUCUUGACUGUGCACACAUACCCUUUCACACUGGGACCUCUUGAUAGGGUUGUGCUCGACUUCUGCCUAGAGUAUGGGGUUACCUUGGCGCAGAUCCAUCCAUCAUUUUGGGAACAGUGUUGAUGAUGAGAUUUUUUGUGGAGAAGGCAGGGCUUGACUUUACUCUUAGUCAUCUUAUCAGGCUGUACUGACCCUUCCACCAUCGAGGUCCGUUGACCUUGCGAUGCUGAUCGACCACGCCCUUUGUUGUUGACGAUGAGGAAGAUAGAGAUUAGGGGUGGAUGAGUUGCUUCGUCCGGAUGCGGACUGCUGACAUUGUCCCCGUGGAGCUCAUGCCAUUCCCUAAGGAAUGGAACUAUUCUCGUAAGUGGUGCAUCUCGUGCUUUCUCAGUUUUGUCUGUGAAGAAAGCCUAGUUUUGUAACCGUGCCUUCUUUUCUUUUCUCACAGCGGUUUCAUGGGCGCCGGGCGACGUUCCUGAUUUGCUGGAUUGGGUCCAAAAGCUGGCGACCCACUCGACCUCUGAUGAGCGCAAGUGGCGAGCUGUGUCCCGGGGCAAGUGGUAAACAAAACACCAUAGUGAGUGAUGUGUUAUACUUUCCCCUCCCUUCCUUCAUUUGGAGAGGCACUUUCUCUUUAUGCAUAUUAAGCUUGCAAUUGUAGGCAUUGAAGAGCCUUCGAUGCGAGGCUGCGCUCCUUUCGAGAGGGGGAAGUGUUUUCAACUCCCGGGCUGAAGAAUGACAACAAUAAGUGAGAGAUGCUUUUUUCAGGGCAAUGGUGCUCAAGGCAAGGCAAAACGGGACUGGGGCAUCGGAGUGGAAGCAUCGUCCGAACCUACCGUGUCCGCGGUUCUUGGUUCUAGAAAAAGGGUUUCUUUGUUGUUGUUACCUUUGAUCGAUUUUCAAUGUCUUAGCCUUAUACUUCUUAUGUUUUGAUGAUCUAACAAACCUGUUAUGAAGAACCAGAUAGAGAAACUUGUCGCACAGGUUAUACAUCUCAUAUGAACAAUUCGACAACAGGAAGGAACUAAACGAUCAUAGAGAGGAACAUCACAGGGACCUGGUGCCCCGGUCUCUUAGGGUUCUCCGGCACAAAGAAGUCAAUGAUUGUACGCAAUCAAUAUAAAGAGGAACACAACAGGGACCUACUCCCUGUAGGUACUCUGACAGAAGUACAGGUCAAGUGCACAACUGGAAUAUGGCAGAAGAAAGUGACCAUCUGUUAACUGUUACAGAAGCGGAACACAACGAGGACCUGGUCUGUUGGUGUGUUCUGACAGAAGUACAAAGUCCACUAUCCAGCUGGAAUGCAACUGCCCAGUAGUGGCUGUGUAGACAGUGUAGUAGUCACUUCUCUCGGGUAAAAGGUACACCACGAGUUGACAUCACUACCUAUUGUGAUAUCUUUUGUGAUAAAACAACCUGGUGCAAGAAACACUAGGAUUUGUGUAUUCAGUGAUAUUCUCUCAAGAACAAGAAGAUAACUCCACUAAGGAUCAGUUUCUAAACGAGUCUUAUGUAUACCCAUAGUUGAGUUGUAAUCUUGUUAAUUGCUCUACAUUGUAAUUCCUAGUUUGCUUUGUUAGAAGUGCUGUUUUAGGAACAAAUCAAAUUCGUAAACUUUAGAGUUUAUGUUAUGACUAGGAAUAGUCAUAAGUUAAAUCCUCUGUAACUAGAAGAGUUAGAGAGUGGCUUGUGGUGGUUGCAUCACAAGGUAGUUUGAAGUCUUUGUAAUCGGCAAUAUUGCAAAGUGGCUUGUAAUAGGUAGAUUACAAGUUAGUUGAGUUAAAAGCCUACAAGAGUAGGUCGUGGUUUUUUGAUCCCCUUGUGUGGAAUUUUUCCACGUAGAAAAUCUCUUGCCUUCUUUACUUUCAGUCUUACUGCUUCCUACGUAUCAGCCUCAUACGGGACCAGGUACUCCAUAGUUUGGUGGACUUAUAUAGGCUAUCAAUUGGUAUCAGAGUGGGUUCCUCCUAUCAGGCUAACACCUAGGGAGGAUCCUUAAAUGGCUGCUCCACUAAGCUUUGAAGAAGGACAAUCAACCUAUAGACCUCAUAGAUUCAAUGGUCAAUACUACGAAUGGUGGAAGACUCGGAUGCAUGACUUCAUAAUGGCUGAAGAUUCAGAACUGUGGGACAUCUUUUGUGAUGGUCCACAUGUUCCCAUGAAGAAACAUGACCAUUGGUGCCCAAAGGGAGAAGAGAGUACAAUGACACUGACAAGAAAGCUGUAGAAAAGAACUAUCGUGCCAAGAAAAUCUUGAUGUGUGGCAUAGGACCUGAUGAUUACAACAGAGUAUCAGCCUGUGAUACUGCCAAAGAAAUAUGGGAAGCCUUACAAACUGCACACAAAGGAACAACUCAAGUCAAAUAAUCCAAGAUCGACAUGCUGACCACUAAAUAUGAGCCCUUCACGAUGAAGGAUGAUGAUUCCAUACAAGAUAUGCAUAUCAGAUUCACCUCCAUCAUAAAUGAGCUUCACUCACUUGGAGAUGUUAUUCCCAGAAACAAGCUUGUAAGGAAAAUUCUCAGUGUUCUACCUGGGUCUUUGGAAAGUAAGGUAAAUGCCAUCAUGGAAGCUAAAGAUCUACAGACUCUGACCAUGGAUGAGCUGAUUGGUAAUCUGAAAACAUAUGAGAUGAAAAGAAAGAAAGACAGUGAAAGAAGAGAGCCUAAGAAGGAAAAGAACCUGGUGCUUAAGGCUGAAAGGAGUGACUCAAGUGAUCAAGAUAGUGACAUGGCCUAUCUUACGAAGAGAUUUCAAAAAAUGGUUCGAAGAAAUGGUGGCAUACCAAAGUGGGACAGUUCAAGUAAAACAAGGAACAACGAUCUCUGUCACGGAUGUGGAAAGCCAGGGCAUUUCAUCAAAGAGUGCCCACUCGCGAAACAGGAGCAGUACAAGCAAAAUCCUGACAAAGCUGGAAAAAGGAACCUGGUUCUAGAGAAAAAAUUUAAUAAAAAAAGUGCUGCAGACAAUAUUGUUAAGCAGACUAUUUCUGCUUGGGGAGACUCCUCAAGUGAAUCUGAAAGGGAAUCAAUGCAGAAAAUAGUUCCAUGAUGGCAAUGGAAACUGAAGCAACAAAGUACGAUUCACUGUUCGUGUUGAUGGCUCAGUCAGAUGAUGAUGAUGAAGAAGAUGAAGACGAUAAGGUAAACUUCAGGGAUGUUCAGAGAAAUCUAAAAUCCUUUUCCUUUAAGAAACUAAGGUCUUUAUCAAAUGUCCUAAUUGACGCUUAUUAUAGUCUUGUAAAUGAUAAGGAGAUCUUGAUUGUAGAACUAGGGGAGGCCGAACAAUCUAGAGAUGAUCUAGUGGUCUGUGUAGGGGACUUAAAUGAAACCAUAGCUAAUCUUGAACUAGAGAAGGAGGCCCUAAAUGAAAAAAAUCCAGUGUGGGGAAUGAGAGAGAUGACGUGAUGGUAGUAGUCGUUGAUCUAAAAGAAAUAAUAGAAGGUCUUAGCAAUGAGAAACACUCCUUAGAAGAAAAAAUUGCCUCCACUGAGGAGGAAAGAUAUGACCUUCUAGUAAUAUGCACUGAUCUAGAGGAAACCAUUGAGGGACUCAGUAGAGAACAUAGGAAUGUAACUCUUGUGAAAGGGAAGGAAGUAGCUAGUGAGUCGCACAUCUUGCUCGAAAAGGAGUUAACUGUUGUAAAAACCAGUCUUUGCAAUGAACUCGAGAGAAAUUAGCAGCUCCAAGCUGAGUUGGAAAAAGUAAGAAAUAAUCUUGAAAAAUCCUUGAAAUGGACCUGGUCCUCAGAUGCAGUCAUUGCCAUGUAUAUCAACAAUAGUGGGAACAAGUAGGGCAUCGGGUUCCAAAGGGAGAAAACUCCCUACAACCCACACAGCAAGUAUGUCACUGUACAUGAUAACUGGCUAUGUACCCACUGCGGAAACAAUGGGCAUUUUAAAGAAAUUUUCUAGGCCAGGGUUCAGUCUGCUUAGAAGAACAAAACAUUUACAAAUAGAGUGACUACUAGCAAAGGAAUAGGUACUACUCGCAAAAAGCGGAUGCUGCCUACGUGGACCAAGAAAACCCUCAUUCAUCCUUUUUAUAGUAACAAGGGACCCAAACUAGUUCGGGUCCCUAAAUCUAACCCCUGUUGUGUAUGUGCAGAGAGCAAUGAGAGGAAGCAGACUGCGAUGGACUAUGGAUAGUGGAUGCUUAAAGCAUGCAACAUCAUGAAUUUCUUCUCACUGAAAGCCCUGUAGGAAGGGAAUGUAUCCUUGAAAAGAAAAUAAAGGGUACAUUCUCAGUGAAUGAAAAGGUAGAAAAGGUUCUUCUUGGAAUUUGAGUAGAGACAAGCACUAUGUGAAUGACCUAAAAGGUGCUGUCAUCAAUCUGAUAACUAGCCAAGUAGUAUCAAUGAACAAAGGAAGCAAGAACAGUCACUCCUGCUAAUCAUCAAUUGGAGAAUGAGAUAAGUGAAAUCACAACUAUGAAGGGGCAGUAUAUGGAAAUUUCUCACCUCCGAAGAAACUAACUCAGUCGGACUUGGUCCGUGAUCUUCCAAACUCAAGCGUGACCUGGACAUGAACUCACAAAAUUGAUGGAGGAGAGGGAGAAGGAAUUUCGCACAAUUUCUCAAACUCUAAGGAUUGAAUAACCAAAAUAGCGUAGCAGAAAGAAAGAACGGACCUGGAAAUUGUUGCAUAAACUGUGCUCAUCGUCUAGGGAAUCUCCAAGAAACUAUGGGAAAAGGAAUAAACAUUACUCUCUACUUGGAGAACAGGUGUCGGACCAGGUGCCUCCUAAAUCAAAACUCACUAGGAACUGCCAAAUUGGAAAAAAUUGCCUUGUGCUUGACAACAGGAAGGGUCAGCUUGGGGAGCUCAAUGCAAAAGGACGAGCUAAGGACUUCUUCUAAAGUUCAAUCCACAAAACAAAGCCACAGGGUCUUCAACAAGGAAACACAAAAUGGCAGGAAAUGCUCAUAGGGCUUCAAAUUAGGAGGGUGAUAGAGUGAGCAAAAUGAAAGAAGACUGGCGAGAGACAACGCAACAUCAUCUUCCUUGUCUCACAAAGAACCUUGUACAUCAUUUGCCAUAACUGAAGCUGAAGGAAGAAGAAAAGAUGUAGCUCAUGGCACUACACAACCAGCAGAACACAAAGUGUGAGGAAAUCAAACUGACCUCCAUAUGUUUCUUCCCAACCAACCUCUAUUUCAAGUUGGGAUACCAAAGUGCACUUGUCAUGAUUCAUGCAUUAUCUUCUGGAAGACAAGGAAGCAAGACCAAAUGACCUCAUCAACAUCUGGAGAGAAAUUGCAAACACAUUGAAGGGUGAGAUCCUUUUUUGAGGGUAAAUAUGAAGAAGGGAUUGAUCAGUGGAAAGGAUUGCAUAAUAGAAGACUAAACUCCAGAUAUCUGUAUCAAAGCCUCAAGUAGAGAAUAUUUUGAAUAAAUCAAGGCGAAGACGGGGUCACACAAAUCUAAAGAAGAACCUGAUUCUCCAUCUAUUGGCUGUGUAAGACACCUUCAGGUAAAGAUAGCUAAAGUAUUUUCUGACCAAGCCUAGCUCACAUCAAUACCGUUGUAGGUAAACACGCAUGACGAUCAUAGAAACCAAAGGUGCAGUUAUGAACUGUAAGGAGGGGAACUGCUAAAAUCUUGUUCAAAAGAUUGCUCUGGCAUCAGGUUCUCGUAUCUGAGGUUAGUAGGAAUGUGCUUAAUUUUUGCAUGCCCUUUAUAAACAAAAAAAGGCAUAUAAAUACUUUGUAAUUCAGCUACCACGUCAUUCAAUUUUUCAACGUCUGAGUGACAUGUCUUGUCAGUUAAAUCCUUCAUCCCCUCUACACGGUAACACUUCCUUACAAAUCUACCGUCGUUUUCAGACGUUUCAGAACUUGUUUCGCUCUCCACUCAUCAUUAGUUCUUCUCCCAAUAAGAAACUUCCCCUCUUUCUCACGGCAAGUUAUGAACCUUCAUCCCCUGUGCAUAGCUAGGAUCCUCUCCCUAUCUACUCCUUCCUCUUUCAACUCAUAUACUAAGUGUUCAUCUAAUGGCGAUGGAAAAAUCUUCUCAUUCCCCCGCCAUUACACUGUUCCCAUUUCUUCAUCACCCUUGAAAUCAUUCCUAGAGCUUCACUAUUUCACGCCUUCUACCACCUUACACACUUAUGGGUCCUCCUCCACUCCUACAGUCUUUCCAUUUCUGAUAAACCCUGUUUACCAUUAUUUUGAGAAUCUUAUGUCUAGUCAAUCUUAUGAUCUCAUCAAAGACCACACAGAAGGUCUCACUCCUCGAGUAUCAGAAGCCCCUGAGGACGAUCCUGACCAGUACCUUAAUACCUCCAUGUUAGACUCAGUGACUCUCAAGGAGUCACCAGAAAAGGAAGCAGCUCAUAACAUUAUGGCUAUAUCUGCAAAGAGUCUGAUGGAUGAAGAAGCUUAUCUCUCCUCAGAGUAUCAAGAUGAAUACUUAACACUCCUAGGAGAUGUAAGAACCACAUAGUUUGGCUCAUGAGAUAUUUUCAGAAAAGCCUUCUAAUGAACCUGAUUCACUCCUAUGCAAACUCACUCCUGUAUCUUCUGCUCAUUCCAAACUCCUAGAGUCUUCCUCAAAAUCACCCAUCACCAGGUCACUACAGCAAGAGAAUUUUAAAUCCUAAUUGCAGAAAAGUAAGAGAAGUGUCAAGACAAGGAAAAAGAGAAAAAUGAAUCCAAAAGAUUUCAUCAAGAGUGUGCCAGUGAAUCAAAUAGACAAAAAUGCUUCUAGAGAACCUGGUUCUUUAGUGCAACAGUCUGUGACGAUUAAGGAAAAUGUUGAAGAACAGAAAGGGUCACCUGGGAAGCACAACAGCAAGUCUAAACAGAGUAAAACUAAGAUAGUUGUGUCAAAGGACAAAACUGUAGAGGUAACAAGAUGGAAAGGAGAGUCUGUCGAAGGAACCAGAAACCAGGAAAGGGAAACUGUUCAUGAACCUGGUGCAUCAAAGUCCUUAACCUGUGAUGGUGUUCAGUGCUAGCAAAGAUUAAGAACUCAAAACUUGUUGUGGGGCCGAGAUUUUGAUCCAACAAUUUCGGAAAUGGCUGGCAUGAGACAAAUUUUGGAGAUUGUAGAAUUUCAAUAAUGAGAACACCUAUUUGAAGGGAGCAUGCAUCUGGUGUAUAAAGAUGCAGUGCAAACCUUCUACUCAUCUCUCUUCACUGUUGAAGGGGACCACAUCUACGCACUUGUAAACGGAGUGGACAUUGUACUCGACACUUCAACAUUAGGAAAAAUCUCAAAAUUCCGUGUGAAGGUGUGUCCUCGGUCAAGGAUGUUUGUGGAGUAAACUUUUGAAGAGCCAUCAUGAAAGAGCAAGCUAUUCAACAGGGGGAACAAGUCCAUAAGAAAGUGUUACUUCCUGAGUAUCAACUUCUCUUUGAACUGGUCAAUAAAGUACUCCUACCCCGCUCUAAGAGACGGUCCAUUGCCACAAAGUCAGAUUUGGUCCUGAUGGAAGCGCUUGAUGAAUUUGUACCAAUCAACCUGCCAGCAAUCAUGGUAGAUCACAUGCAGAAGGUGGCAAAUUUUAAGGGUGGCAAUCAUGGAUUACCUUAUGGCUUUCUCCUCAAUCAAGUGUUCAGAUUCUAUAAGGUUCUCUUGGGAAAUCCUAGAGUGGGCACACGCAAGCAAACAUUUUCUAAGACUACUCUAGAAGAAUGUGAAUGUAUAGAAAAUUUGGUAGAAGCAUCUCGACCAUUUCUCAGCUGAUAAACGCCCAAAAUGUAGCCUCUGAGGAAAUACGAAGGCUGAGGGCUCGAAAUGCCAUUCUAGAAACUCAGCUUAGCCAAGCAGCUAAGGGACCUAAUUUUGUACAUGAGGAGGUUGCCAAACUGAGAAAGGAAAAUGAGAGACUUCGGGCUCAACUACUUGAAGAACAACUGGCCGCAAAUGCUAGACUGGACCUGGUUCUCAAAACCAUUGUUGUCUCUUCCUCCAAGCCUCCUCCCCUUAGUGCUCCCUAGGAUUCUCCUUAGUAUCUAGCUAUUUUUGCACCAACUUCCUGUGGUUAUUGUUUUACUUGUUUUUGUUUUGUGAUGGCAUGUUGAACUUAACCAUUACUGCUCCUGACUUGCUCAGUCCAAUGUAAACAUUAAUGAAACAACUCCCAUUUUUCUUGCAUGUACAACAUUGUGUUCCUCUGGUUUCUCUUUUCUGUCAUGACUGUUUGAACAUAUGUGGCAUGAGCUAGCUGUGUUAGACUUCUUUAUGCUUAUUACCUGCGAGUGCUCUUUGUCAUACUAGUUGGUCUUUUUAAUGAUACCAAAAGGGGGAAAUUAUAUAAUAGAUGGGGAUGGGGCUGAGAAGAUUAAGGGGGAACUAUGCUAUGCCUGUGAUGUGCUAUGUCUGUGAUGAUCAAAGGAGGGAGAUCUAAGAUUAAGGGGGAACUGCUGACUCAUCUGGUUAAUUAACUGUUAAUCCUGAUCUAAACAAAUGCUUUUCAUCCUUAAGUUUGUCAUCAUCAAAAAUGGGAAAAUUGAUGGGUUUUCAAUGUCUUAGCAUUAUAUUUCUUUAUGUUUUGAUGAUCUAACAAACUUGUUAUGAAGAACCAGAUAGAGAACCUUGUCGCACAGGUUAUACAUCUCGUAUGAACAAUUCAACAACGGGAAGGAACUAAACGAUCACAGAGAGGAACAUCACAGGGACCUAGUGCCCCGGUCUCUUAGGGUUCUCCGGUACAAAGAAGUCAGUGAAUGUACGUAAUCAACAUAAAGAGGAACACAACAGGGACCUGCUCCCUGUAGGUUCUCUGACAGAAGUACAGGUCAAGUACACAGCAGGAAUGUGACAGAAGAAAGUGACCAUCUGGUAACUGUUACAGAAGCGGAACACAACGAGGACCUAGUCCGUUGGUGUGUUCUGGCAGAAGUACAAAGUCCACUAUCCAACUGGAACGCAAUUGCCCAGUAGUGGCUGUGCAGAUAGUGCAACAGUCACUUCUCUCUGGGAAAAAGUACACUACGAGUUGACAUCACUACUUAUUAUGCUAUCUUUUGUGAUAAAACAACCUGGUGCAAGAAACACCAGGAUUUGUGCAUUCAGUGAUAUUCUCUCAAGAAGAAGAAGCAUUGAUCCGACAUUGAAGUCACUGGUGUGUCAAGAACAAGAAGACAACUCCACUAAGGAUCGGUUUAUAAACGAGUCUUAUGUAUAUCCAUAGUUGAGUUGUAAUCUUGUUAAUUGCUCUAUAUUGUAAUUCCUAGUUUGCUUUCUUAGAAGUGUUGUUUUAGGAACAAAUCAAAUUUGUAAACUUUAGAGUUUAUGUUAUAACUAGGAAUAGGCAUAAGUUAAAUCCUCUGUAACUAGGAGAGUCAGAGAGUGGCUUGUGGUGGUUGCAUCACAAGUUAGUUUGAAGUCUUUGCAAUUGGUAGUAUUGCAAAGUGGCUUGUAAUAGGUAGAUUACAAGUUAGUUGAGUUAAAAGCCUAUUAGAGUAGGUCGUGGUUUUUUGAUCCCCCUGUGUGGGAUUUUUCCACGUAGAAAAUCUCUUGCCUUCUUUACUUUCAGUCUUACUGCUUCCUAUGUAUCAGCCUAAUACGGGACCAGGUACUCCAUAGUUUGGUGGACUCAUAUAGGUUAUCAGCCUUGUUUUUCCAUCGAUAGUACUUCGGGAGAUACUAGAAAUCCGGGGUCGCAGGCACCGAGCAACCAUGCUUCGAUCGGGGUCGACUAUUUUGGGGCUGAAAGAACUGGAUUGGCAGGUGUGCACUAGGCCUUCGAGAAAGCCCAACGGCUUCACUUUGCAGCGAGUUUCGGCACAGGUUUUUCGAGCUUCGCCCCUUUGUAGGCAUUCGACAAGCUUAAGUCCGGGCUGCUUCGUUUUGAGGCCAGGCUGCGGAAAGCUCGGGAUGGGGAGAGAUCUCUUAGGCUCCUUUGUGAUGAAAAGGAAGUUGAGUUGGUAUGCUUGUAGUAUGGGGUGGGCCGGAGCUUGAAUUACGAGACCUAUCUAAAGGAGCAGGUAAUUUUCUGCCCUAGGUGAGUGUGUGAUAGAUCUUAAUUGUUCUUGCCUAAUAUUUUGAUGAUCUAACAAACUUACUGCUAAGAACAAGAUAGGGAACCUGACCUACUUGGAUUGCUGCAAGCGUUAACAGAUUUUAGCUAAAGAUGAAUUGCUACAGCUUCAGGAGCUAGGAACCAAACAAGGACCUGAUGCUUUUGUUGUUUCCUCAUAGCAGUACAAAGUCACUUGGACACAUCUGGAAAUGAAGUGACCGACGACACUAUUUUUGCUGCACUGCACCACACUAUCAGCCCACUCAUUCUCUAACCAAACAAAGUACUCACAUCAUUUCAAGUAAUGUGAUCAAGAUGUACCAAAUGUGCUUUAUACAAAAAAUCACUGAAAGGUUUCUGUUUCUCAUUCAAGCCUCUUGCAAAAACAGAAAAAUCAUCCUCUUAAUCUUGAAGAACAAGGUUUAAUGUCACUACGGACCAGUUCCUAAAAAAAUGAUUGAUUGCUGUCCUAGUUGAGUUGUAACCUUGUUAUUGUACUUACUAUAUCUCCUAAAUUGCUUACUUAAAAGCAUACUGAUUAGGAAUCCUCUUGUAAAUCCGUAAACUCGUUGAGUUUAUGUUGUGACUAGAUUUAGUCAUAAGGAAAAGUCUUUGUAAUCGUAGAGUUACAAAGUGGCUUGUGGUGAUAGCAUCACUAGUUAGAAAAAGCCUUUGUAACUAGGAUAGUCACAAAGUGGCUUGUGGUAAAGGUACCACAAGUUAAUUGAGUAAAUCUUUGCAAUAGGAAGUAUUGUAAAGUGACUUGUAAUAGGUAAGAUUACAAGUUAAUGAAGUUAAAAGCCUACAGGUGUAGGUCGUGGUUUUUUGAUCCCCUUAUGCGGGAUUUUUCCACAAAAAAAUCUUUGCCUCAUUUACUUACUGCUUUACUAAGUGCUCUCAACAGAAUGUUGUAGAGGACCAGGUACUCUACGAUUUGGUGGACCCAUAUAAACUAACAAUUGGUAUCAGAGCUGGUUCCUCCUAUCCGGAUAACACCUAGGAAGGAUCCUCAUGGCGGCUCCACUAAAUUUUGAAGAAGGUCAAUCCAUAUACCACCCACCCAAGUUUGAUGGAAAAUGAUAUUGGUGGUGGAAAGCUUGAAUGCACGAUUUCAUCAUUGCUGAGGAUUGUGAGCUAUGAGAUGUCAUUUGCGAUGGUCUGUUUGUUCCAGUCAAGGUACUAGAUGAAUUCCCAUUUUCAAAAGAAAAAACUUGCAAAGAAUACACUGAAGUAGACAAGAAAACGAUGGAAAAGAACUUUCGUGCCAAGAAAAUUCUAGUAUAUGGAUUGGGACCUAAAGAGUACAACAAAAUCUCUACAUGCGACACUGCCAAGGAAAUAUUGGAGGCUUUUCAAACAGCUCAUGAGGGAACUACACAAUUAAAACAAGAUAAACCUAAUACUGGUGAUAAUUCCAUGAUGGCAGUUGAAGGCGAGGAGAUUGGAUAUGACUCAACGCUUGCUUUGAUGGCUCAAUUAGAUAAUGAUGAAGACAAUGGCAAUGAAAAGGUAAACUUCAGGGAUGUUUAGAAAAAUAUGAAAAAUCCUAUUCUCCAAAAAAACUCAUGUGUUUAGCUGAUGUUUUAAUUACUGCAUUUUUUAGUCUUUCGGAGGAUAGGGAUUCCUUGUUCUUAGAACUAGAAGAAUCUGAACAUACUAGAGAAGACUUAGUGGCUGCAGUUACUGAUCAAAAAAGAACCAUUGAAAUUCUUAGAAAAGAAAAGAAUGAUCUGUUGGCAAAAACUGCAGACCAAAGGGAACUAAUAGUGAAGCCAUUGACUAAGUCAAAACCUGAAAGCUCUGAAAGAGGAAAGGAGAUAGUGAGGAAUAUUUUAGGCUUGAAGAUGAGGUGAAGGCCUUGAGAUGUAGGAUGUGUGCUGAAAUUGAGAAAAACAAGCUCCUCCAAGCCAAUCUAGAAAAAGUGAUGAAUGAUCUUGAAAGGUCUCUAAAGUGGACCUGGUCCUUAGAAGCUACCAUAGCCUUGAUCACUAAUGACAGUGAAAAAAGGCGGGGAGCAGGGUUCCUAAGGGAGAAAACUCCUCACAACCCUCACAGUAAGAGCGCCACUACAUCUGAUAACUAGCCUCGUACCCAAUGUGGGAACACUGGGCACUUUAAGGAAGCUGUCCAGACCAAGAAUCAAUCAGUACCGAAAGACAAAGUGGCUGCUAAAACUGUGACUACAAAAUAGGGACCAGGUUCCACUCACAGAAAACGCACAUUGCCUGCAUGGACUAAGAGAGCUCUUAUUCAUCCUCUUGGUUACAACAAGGGACCCAAACUUGUUUGGGUUCCUAAAACUAACUCAUAAUCUCUUGUACAGGGAACAGUGAAGGGAAGUGGUCAACAAUGGUUCAUGGAUAGUGGAUGUUUGAAACACAUGACUGGGAACACCACAAAAUUUCUUUCACUAAAAGCCCUGCAAUGAGGGAGCGUAUCCUUUGGCAACGACAAAAAGGGGUACAUUCUUGAAGUUGGAAAAGUUAGGAAGUCACUCACUCACUCUAUUGAAAAUGUAUACCAUGUUAAUGGACUUAAGUACAGUCUCCUGAGUGGCUCUUAAAUUUGUGAUAAAGGAAACCAGGUGGAAUUAUUGUCCAAAAUAUGUACAGUCACUGACCUUGUGACCGGUGAAAUAGUUCUGGUGGCCAAAAAGAUACAAGAACAUCUAUGUUGCUCAUUUCGAAUCUUUACAUAGUGGUGAUCUGAGUUGUCUGAAGGCGGUUAACAAUGAUGCUGAACUAUGGCACAAAAGACUGGGCCAUGCAAGCUUUUCCCUUCUGAACAAACUAAUUCAGAAGGACCUGGUCCAUGGUCUGCCUAUGUCACAAUUCAAAACUAAAAAGUCUAUGAUGCCUGUGCUAGAGGAAAACAUGUAAAGUCCUCCUUUAAGUCAAAAAGAGAUGUGAGAACCUCAAAGCCGCUUGAGCUCCUAUAUAUGGAUCUGUGUGGACCUAUGAUGGUGCAAAGUAUAGGAGGAAAGAGAUACAUUUUUGUAAUCGUGGAUGACUAUUCCAGAUUCACAUGGACUCUGUUUCUCAGAACAAAAGAUGAAACUAUUGAAGUAUUUGUGGCCUUUGUGAAGAAAAUCCAGGUGAAGAUGGAGUCCAGAGUUGUAUGCAUUAGAUCAGAUCAUGGGACAGAAUUUGACAAUGUCAAGUUUGAUGAAUUCUGCAAUGAAAAUAGCAUUACUCACAACUUCUCAGCUCCCAGAACUCCACAACAAAAUGGAGUAGUAGAAAGAAAGAAUAGAACUCUGGAAGAAAUGGCAAGAACAAUGCUGAUUGACAGUGGACUUGCCAAGAACUUCCGGCUGAAGCUGUCAACACUGCCUGCUACUUAGUAAACAGGUGCAUGAUCAGAUCAAUUCUGAACAAGACCCCGUAUGAAUUACUGAAUGGAAGAAAACCCAAGCUGACUUACCUAAGAACAUUUGGAUGCAAAUGCUAUGUUCUCAACAAUGGAAAUAAUCAGCUUGGUAAGUUCGAUGCCAAAAGUGACGAAGGGAUAUUUCUUGGCUACUCUUCUCAAAGCAAGGCUUACAAGAUAUAUAACAAGCGGACUCAAUGUGUUGAAAAAAGCGUCCAUGUUAUUUUUGAUGAAUCUCAUCCAUCAUUUGAGAAGAGUGAUGAGGAAGAUCAAGAUGGAUAACCCUUGCUUAUUCCUGGUGAAGUCAUUAACAUAACAAACGAAAAGGCAGAUAUGAUGAGUCACGUGAAGGAGCCAAAUGAAGAUAACGUUGUCCCAUCAUCAACAAAACCAAGCACUUCAAUUACAAUCACUAAAGUUGAAGAAAGAGUGGUUGAUGCAGUUCAGGGAACUCCACUGGCAUCUGAGAGAAGGAUAGAGGAGAAUCAGCCAAACAUACCUUCUUCCUCUCAGAAUGAACCCUAGACAUCUAACUAGAGACAUCAAAGUUCUCAUCCUAUAGACAACAUAAUCACUCCUCUAGAUUCUGGAGUUCAAACCAGUUCAAGAGCUAGAAAUUCACUUGCCUACUCAGCCUUUCUCUCCUAGAUUGAACCCAAGAACAUCAAAGAAGCCUUAAAAGAUGCAGAUUGGAUUACAGCCAUGCAAGACGAGCUGCAUCAGUUUGAGAGAAAUAGUGUGGCACAUGUUACCUAGACCCCAGAUAGAGCCAUUAUAGGAACCAGGUGGGUAUUCAGAAACAAGCUCGAUAAAAAUGGAAUUACCACAAGGAACAAUGCCAGGCUAGUGGUCCAAGGCUACAAUCAGGAGGAAGCGAUUGACUAUGAUGAAACAUUUCCUCCAGUGGCUCACAUGGAAGCCAUCAGAAUUCUGAUCGCCUUUGCUUCUCAUAUGGAAUUCAGUUUGUUCCAAAUGGAUGUCAAAAGUGCAUUUUUGAAUGGACUACUUAAGGAAGAAGUCUAUGUGAAGCAACCCCCGAGGUUUGAAUGUCAUGAGCACUCUGAAUAUAUGUUCAAAUUGGACAAAGCUAUGUAUGGGCUAAAGCAGGCUCCUCGAGCGUGGUAUGAAAGAUUGUCAAAAUUCCUCUUAGAAAAUGAUUUUAAGAGAGGGAAAAUUGACAACACUCUUUUCUUGAAGAAACGAGGAAGGAACCUGCUCAUUGUUCAGGUUUAUGUUGAUGAUAUCAUUUUUGGAGCAAUAGCUGACUCUCUGUGUGAAGAAUUCGCAAAACCUAUGGGAAGCAAAUUUGAAAUGAGCAUGAUGGGGGAAUUAAACUUCUUCCUGGGUCUUCAAGUAAAACAAUCCCCAAAGGGUACCUCUAUUUGUCAGCAAAAAUACAUCAGGGAACUCUUGAAGAGGUUUGGCAUGGAAGCAUCAAAAGUGAUAGACACUCCCAUUGCAACUGCCACUCGACUGAACAUGCAUGAAACUGGAUCUCCUGUGAAUCAAACAAUGUAUAGAGGCAUCAUUGGGUCUCUCCUCUAUCUCAUUGCUAGUCAACCUGAUAUUGUUUUCAGCGUAGGGCCGUGUGUGAGGUUUCAAUCAAAUCCCAAGGAAUCUCACUUGAAGGCUGCAAAAAGAAUACUGAGAUAUCUCAAAGGCACACAGGACUUGGUGCAAUAUUAUCCAUCAGGUGAUAGUUUUAAUCUGAUUGGAUAUGUUGAUGCAGACUAUGCAGGUUAUCUUGUGGAUAGAAAAAGAACUUCUGGGAUGUCUCACUUCCUAGGAUCAUGUUUUAUCUCUUGGGGUACAAGGAAGCAAAAUUCAGUGGCUCUUUCAACAGCUAAAGUUGAAUAUGUAGCUGCAGCAUCCUGCUGUGCUCAUCUUCUGUGGAUCAAGCAGUUGCUGGAGGAUUUUGGAGUUCUCACUGAGAGUGUGCCUCUCCUAUGUAACAACACCAGUGCACUCAACAUGUCAAAGAAUCCAUAUCAACAUAAAAGGACCAAACAAAUUGACGUGAGGCAUCAUUUUCUGAGAGAUAAUGUGGAGAAAGGGUUGAUAUGCAUGAAGUUCUGCAGCACAGAAGAUCAAAUUGCAGACAUUUUCACCAAGACACUAAGUAGGGAACAGUUUGAAAGAAAUAGAGUAAAGCUGGGACUAAUGAAGCCAGAUUAAGAACCUGAUUCCUCUUUAGCCGGUUUGUAUUCUUAAGAAAUAAUUAGUUCAAAGUGUUUUUUGGCCAUGUCUAACUCACUUCAAUACCGUUGUAGGUAGACACGCAUGAUAAGCAUAGAAGCAGUAGAUGCAGUACAUGACUGAUAAAAAAGGAUUAAUUCUUUUAAAAAAAAAGCGAUGAAGAAAAUGUUUUUCAAAAACCAGGUUCUUGUACUAAAGGUUAGUAGUUCUGUGCAUCGCUUUUAAUACACGUCUUAAAAAGGUACAAAAUACAACUGCCAUAUCAUCAACUUUUUAGAUCCUGUUGUCACGUCCCUUCAAUUCAAAUGUUCCAUCUCCCUCUGAAACAUUACAAUACUCCACGCCCAACCGCCGUUUCAGAACCGAUGCCUAUUCCUCUCCCUUUAUAAUUAUUCUCUUCUUUUAAAAACCAUCUCUUAUGUUCUUCUUGACCGUAAGCCCUACUCUAGAUUCACCCAAAAAGGGAAAGAUCAUCACACCUCUUCUCCAAAUGGCUGAGAAAACUUCUGAUUUCUCUGCUUCAGUGGUUACUACCUCUGACCCAUCUAUGGAACCUCUCGCUUUUAUCGAGCCUUUGUCACCCGCUAUCACUCCUACCGCUGCAGCCACACCUUCCCCAGUCUCCAAAUCUCUUCCCAACUCAGAAACCCUUGAAACUGCUGUUCUGCUUUCCCCGUCGUCUGUUGUUCCCACCAGUCAAACCCUAAGUGGAGAACAAGGUCAAAAUACUAAGUUCACAAAAGGUUCUGCCAUCGCUGCCGUCGAUUUCAUGGUUGUGGAAGCACCGGUUGAAGAAGAAAAGACUGUGUUUAUGGUAUCUGCUGAUGGGGUAUUGCAUGAAGUUAUUUCCCAGAAAGAUGAGUCACAAAGCGUGUGGGUAGAAGGGGCCAUCAUGGCUGCUGAAGGGGAUGCAGUAGUAUACACUAUUGGGGCAUCAUAUGAGGAACCUGAUCCCUCUCCAGAGGACCCAGGUCAGGACUCUUAUCCCCAGGACAGUGCUGUUUCUGCAUUCGAUGUUGUGCCCCUGGAAAUUCAAGCACUAGAAAUGCAAUCUAGUGAUGAAGAAGACCUGGAAAACGUGGCCCUUGAUGCAUUCAUAAGUAAGCGAAGGGUUAUCUCCACCCUUGAGUCUGAAAUUAAGCGGCCUACUACCAAGCUUCAAGUCAAAGUGGUCUAUGAUUCUGCACUCCAAAAAGAGCAAGAAGAGUAGUAAGAAGAAAAGAAGAAAGUUGGUGAAGGAUGGUGUACCUAUAAGUGAUGAAGCUAUUCCUGUAGUGAAGGUGGAAGAAGGAACUCUUGAGGAACCUGGUUCCCUUAUAAGGCGGUCCUUAAAAAAGGCUGAGUCUAUUUCCAUGGAGAAAGGGUCUACAUCUAAGUCCAAAAUGAAGGAAGUGGUGAGUGAUGAGGAUAUACUUGUCAAGUCCAAAGGGAAUGGCAAAGUCAGUGGAGAAAAGCUUAGGAAACGCAAGUCUGAAACAGUUGAAGAACCUAGUUCUGGAAAGAAAGCAAGAAGUGAGGUCUGCCUUGAUUCUGAGCGCCUAAGGCAUCAAAAAAUUCUGCUGGGUCAUACGUUUGACCCAACAAUUUUGGAGAUUGCUGGAAUGUGCCAAAUUCUGGAAAUGGUGGAGUUUCAACAAUGGAUGCAUCUAUUCUACAUUGAUGCCCCUAAAAUGUAUGAGGAGGAGGUAUAGAGUUUCUUCGCCAGUCUUUUUCUAGUCGAUACUGACCAUGUUUGUGCGUUGGUCAUUGGGGUGGACAUUGUUUUUGACAUGAAAUUGUUUGGAGAAAUUUUGCAAGUUCCUACAGUUGGAGUGUUGAGUGUACAAGAUGUUUGUCAGUACAACUUCAGAAAUGCAGUGGUGAAAGAUAAUUUUAAUCAGAAAGGGGACCAGAUCCAUAAGAAAGAACUACUUCCUGUCUACCAACUGUUGUUUGAGCUGGUUAAAAAAGUAUUGUUGCCUUGAGCAGAAAGGAGGUCUUUAACUUCAAAAUCUGAUCUAUUCCUAAUGGAACAACUAGACAGUUUCAACCCUGUGAGUCUGUCUGCCAUAAUGAUUGAACACAUGUAGAAGGUGGCCAAUUUCAAGGAUGGUAAUCACGUGCUUCCCUAUGGAUUCUUGCUCACUCAGGUGUUCAAAUUCUUUGAGGUUCCACUGGGAACAAGCAAAGUAGGGACCUGUAAACAGACAUUCUCACAGACAACCUUAGAAGAGUGCGAGUGUAUUGAGAAGUAUGGGGGUGUAGGAAGUACUUCAACUGUGUCUCAUCUCAUCAAUGCCUAGAACAGUUCAGCUGAGGAAAUGCGUCGAUUGAAGGCCAGGAAUGCUAUCCUAGAAGGUCAGCAAGCCCAAGCAGUUCCUUUGUCAAAUGAUAAAGUGGUUCAUUUGACCCAACAAAAUGCUGAUCUCAGGGCGCAAGUCGAGAACCUGAAGGUUGAACUGCUCAACGAGCAAAAGUCGGGAAACGCCCAAAUAGACCUUGUUCUCUAGACACUUGUCGCAGCUUCCAAGCCUUUUCCUCCUAGUGCCCCCUAAGAACCCCUUCAGUGACCAGUUUUCUGGAUAGUUUGUUAUUUGUCUCUUUGUUGAUAGUUGGUGGAUGUUUUUUUGUUUUUUUUAUGGUUGGGAUGUACUACUACUAUUGUUCCUGUGAACAAGUCCAAUGUAGCCUCUUCCUUUGAAGCAUAUUAAAAAUUAUUAAUAUGAAUCAUUUUUAUUAUGUCUCGUACUGUCUCUGUGUUCCAUUCUUUCUCAUGAUUGUGUGCACAUGUGUGGCAUGAGUUAGCUUCGCUGGACUUCUUUGUGCUGUUGUUCUUUUUAAUGAUGCCAAAAGGGGGAAAACACAUUGGGGAAACUGGUUCUUAGACUAAGUGGGAAAAACAUUGGGGAACUGGUUCUUAUGCUCAAUCUGGCUCUUAUGCUCUAUUACUCUUUAAGAUAAGGCAUAGUCUUAGGGGGAAAGAGUCUCAGGGGAAACUCUUUGAAACUGGUUUGGUUUUUACUACCCUAAUUCCGAUUUAUAAUUGUUGAAGUUUGUCAUCAUCAAAAAGGGGGAAAUUGAUAGAUCUUAAAUGUUCUUGCCUGAUGUUUUGAUGAUCUAACAAACUUACUGCUAAGAACCAGAUACGGAACCUAACCUACUUGGAUUGCUGCAAGCGUUAACAGAUUACAGCUAAAUAUGAAUUGCUACAGCUUCAGGAGCUAGGAACCAAACAAGGACCUGAUGCUCUUGUGGUUUCCUUAUAGCAGUACAAAGUCAUUUGGACACAGCUGGAAAUGAAGUGACCGACGACACUGUUUCUGCUGCAUUGCACCACACUGUCAGCCCACUCAUUCUCUAACCAAACAAAGUACUCACAUCAUUUCAAGUGAUGUGAUCAAGAUGUACCAAAUGUGCUUUAUACAAAAACAUCACUGAAAGGUUUUUGUUUCUCAUUCAAGCCUCUUGCAAAAACAGAAAAAUCAUCCUCUCAAGCUUGAAGAACAAGGUUUAAUGCCACUACGGACCAGUUCCUAAAAGAUUGAUUGAUUGGUGUCCUAGUUGAGUUGUAACCUUGUUAUUAUACUUACUAUAUCUCCUAAAUCGCUUACUUAGAAGCAUACUGAUUAGGAAUCCUUUUGUAAAUCCGUAAACUCGUUGAGUAUAUGUUGUGACUAGAUUUAGUCAGAAAGAAAAGUCUUUGUAAUCAUAGAGUUACAAAGUGGCUUGUGGUGAUAGCAUCACAAGUUAGAAAAAGCCUUUGUAACUAGGAUAUCACAAAGUGGCUUGUGGUAAAUGUACCACAAGUUAGUUAAGUAAAUCCUUUGCAAUAGGAAGUAUUGUAAAGUGACUUGUAAUAGGUAAGAUUACAAGUUAGUGAAGUUAAAAGCAUACAGGUGUAGGUCGUGGUUUUUUUAUCACCUUGUACGGGAUUUUUCCACAUAAAAUUCCUUUGCCUCAUUUACUUACUGCUUUACUAAGUGCUCUAAGCAGAAUCUAGUAGAGGACUAGGUACUCUACGAUUUGGUGGACCCAUACAAACUAAUAGUGUGCAUUCCGCCUCCUGGUUCAUGAGACUAACGCUUAGUCUAUUUCAGUUGUAGAAAAAGAUGGAAGCCCUGGAGCGCCUUCGAGAGGAAGUUGGCGGGGCCAGGUGUGAACAUGAUGAGCUGAAAGCUCGGGCGGAGGCUCAAGCUUUAGAGGGGAAGGAUGUUUUGGCCAAAGUUCCUACUUUUGAAGCUCAACUUUGUUUAGCCCAUGAUAAUGUUUCGGUUCGGACAGACAUGAUUUUGAAGCAUGAGUCUAAGCUUUCAAAGGUCAGGGCUGAGAUCGUUGAUGCUUGGGCAAAAGCUGCGAUGAGCCGGACUAAGGCUGACCAGGAGAUGACAAUUUAUUCAAAGGAUGUUGUCGAUGCUCGAGCUGAGCUGAGAAGGAUCCUCGACCAUGAAGGGAGGGUUGAAGAAUAUGCUCGCUGCAAAUCUCGAAGAAAGACCCUCGAAGAGAUCUGUGCUAGGGGCUUCGCCCUCUCGGAGGAAUUGGCGCUAGCAAGGGCGGACGCGCAUGAUGCUCGGUUGCUUUUGCCCGAUGCCGAAGAAAGCGAAGUUGAGGCCGGCAGGCCGUAGCCCCCGGGGGCAUAGAUUUUUCCAUCUGUAUGUAGCAUUUUCAAAGAAUGUUUGUAGACGGAGAUUGCCCUUUUUCGCACAUGUGUAUGAAAGAAAACCUUGCAGCUUUAUUUCUUUUGUCUCUCUUAUUGUCUUGAAUUUGGCCAUGUGGACUGCUCUUUGAGUUGGUAGGAAUCCUUAGAGUCAUGAUAUGGCCCUAGGGCUCAUUGGACUGGCCCGCAGGCACUUACGCACUUUCGCUCUUAGGCAUAUUUAGGCCAUUUGCUUUGGACGCAGUCCUCAAGUCUGGCAUCGACUCGAGCUUAUUUGGCCUUUGAAUGUCCAAAUUUUAGGUUGGCGAUAGUGGCUCUUAUGCUUUUGGUCGAUGCGACCUUCUAGUGUAUGUGGGCUGGCGACAAUGGCUCUUACGUCGUGGGCCGAUGCGGCCUUUUAGUGAGAGCUGGCGACAAUGGCUCUUACGACGUGGGCCGAUGCGACCUUCUAGUGUAUGCGGGCUGGCGAUAGUGGCUCUUACGCCUUCCUCUUAGGCAUAUUUAGUAAACUAUUUUGGGUCAAGUCUCCGAAUCGUGUUACGACUCGAGCUCAUUUUGACCCUCAAGUUUUCAGAUUCCAAGCUGGCAACAAUGGCUCUUACGCUUUUGGUCGAUGCGACCUUUUGUGUGUGGCCCUAAGGCUCAUUAGGCUGGCGACAAUGGCUCUUACGCUCUUGAUCGAUGCGACCAUUUAUGUAGGCUUUAUUUUUCCUCUCGUUAAGGGCUUUUGGAGUGAUUUUUUCCUGACCCGUCGUCGGUUCGGGAAGAACCUCGAUUUCGGGUAACUUGUGGCGAUGUUCGAGAACCUCGGGAGGUUUGGCUUGGAGGCUGAGUAGCUCGAAGCCUGUGAUUAGAAGCCAACAUGGUCGAAGCUCAUUUGCAUAUGCUGAGGCAGCCUGUUUAACUGGUUCUUUCCGAAGUAGAUUCGGAGUAAUUGAAGGCCUGUGUGGGCUAGCGACAAUGGCUCUUACACCUAUUAGCGACGGUCGGGCAUCCCCGAGCCAUGUUAGUCCGGCUGGUACAGCCGUGUGACCGGAGUCACUUGUGAUUGGCCAGAGCCUUUGAUUCCCGAGUGAAGUAGUUUCAGCAUCUAUAUCGAGGGUAUGCCUUUUUAGGGGUUAUACAAGUUCGAUAUAUAGCCAGAACUUUAGGAUCGGUUCUACGCCUCUAGUGAGGUCUUACACGUUUUACAUGUCGUUGAGGUCUUGCAGUUUUUGCAUGCCAUUGAGGUCUUACAGGUUUUACAUGUCGUUGAGGCCAUACAGGUUUUACAUGCCGUUGAGGUCUUACAGAAAUAGUUUCUGCCUUAUGUAGGUCUUACGAGACCGAGUCUACCCACUCAGGGUCUUAGGGCAUCAGGUUUUGAUAAGUCAAUGGAGGUGGCGCUUGACGGCAGUCCCCGAGUCGUCGAGGGUUUCUUAACUCAGGAGCCAUUAUUUGCAAACUUUUUAUUGCCUCAUCGAGGGCUUACGAUUUUGGAGAUCUCGACCCUGAGGUCGUGCGUUUUUUGAGAUUUUGACGUCAGUCCCCGAGUAUUCGGGGUACUUUCAGCGUUGGAGAUGUUUUGAGAUUUUCAUGUUGCCUCAUUAAGGGCUUAUGAUUUUGGAGUCCCGGCCCGGAGGUCAUUCAGGUGUUGAAUUGUGGAUGCCAGUCUCCAAGCAUUCGGGACGUUUUCGGCGGAGAAGUAGUUUUUGCGGAGGUGCCGAGCUUCUUUUGGAGUGCGAGACGCUUUGAUAAAAGAUAUUCUUCAAUUGUUUGAUACAAAUGUACAUGUUUUUGCUGCCGGGGCCCGGCUAUACGGACACGGUUCGUUCGACCGUUUGGCCCAAUACAUCAUUUUCCUAUAGGGACCCUAUUUGUCGUUUCUUGGCUUUUCUGAGCGGAUGGAAUUUGGGGGUGGGGGAUGCCCCUCAGUGUUCGAGGUUGAUUGCAAAAGAAGCCUCGAACACUUGUUGUGUCUCCCUUAGGUAGCAUGCAGAUGUUGCCUCGUUAAAAAUCUUGCCGGUAAAACCCUUUUCGGGAUAAAAAUUCGGUCAAAGGAAAAGAGUGCAACGGAUGCUUUAAAACCUUAGGUCUUCGAGUUGGGUUAACACUCUGACUGCUUCGAUCGGGCGCCUGCAUAAGGGUUAGUCUGAAAUACGAAAUGAAAAGGGAGACGGUUAUACCUUAGUGCGAGAUGCGCCGACGAUGUUUCGAGGACCGAUAUGUCCUGGUUACUCGAGAUGAGGACGCGGUAUGGUCCCUUACUUUAUGUAAUCAGGCUUAAUCGAAGGUGUGGCUUGAUUACCCUUCAGCUUUUUUGCGGGCAGAGAUAUUGGUGCCGGUACCAUGUCGUGCACCGUGAACAUUUCCUUGUCGUAUGCUGUUCCCCGUAUACGAUUUUAACUCCAUCCUUUGUUGGAAAUUUCAUCAUUUGGUGGAGUAUGGAUGGUACUGCUCUCAUGCAGUGUAUCCACGACCGUCCGAACAAGGCGUUGUACCUCAUGUCUCCCUCGAUGACAUGAAAUUUAGCAUUUCGGGUUGUGCCGGCCACGGUGACUAGGAGGGUGAUUUCUCCUUUCGUUAUUUUACUUGCCAUGUUGAAUCCGUUGAGGACUAAAGUGGCGGGCAUGAUUUGGUGAAGCAGUUCGAGCUACUCUAUCACCCUCGACCUGAUGAUAUUGGUCAAGCUACCUGGAUCCACGAGUACAGGUUUUAUUUGAAAAGAAUUCACAAGGAAAGACAUUACCAGUGCGUCAUUGUGAGGUGGAGACAAGGUCUCGGUGUCUUCUUUGCUGAAAGUGAGGGCAUCUUCGGGUAUGUAUCCUGGGGUUCGCCUUUCUCUGGUGAUGGAUAUUUUUGUCCUUCUCAUCACGGGUCCCUGUGGGGCAUCGACACCUCCCAAGAUCAUGUGGAUGACAAGUUGUGGCUCAUUUGUUUCGUUCUUCUUGGUUGCCUAUCUUUCUCGGAAUUGAUUUUUGGCUCGGUGGCUGAGGAAUUCCUGGAGGUGGCCUUUGUUAAGUAGUCGAGCUACCUCCUCUCGGAGUUGGUAGCAAUCCUCGAUCCUGUGGCCGUGCAUGUUAUGAAACUCGCACACUAAGUUAUGAUUCCUCUGUGAAGGAUCCGAUUGCAUAGACCUGGGCGACUUGGCGUCUCUGAUUUUACUGAUGGCGAAUACAAUGGCUGAUACAUCGAUGUUAAAGUUUUUUUCUGACAAGUGAGGUGCCCCCAUUGGCCCUGCGUUCCUAUCGAAUCUGUCUCUAUUGAUGAGUCACCAAGGAUCUUAUCCUCGGUUUAUCCUUUGAUCAUUGCAAGGUGGGUUGCACCUCGGGGCGUUCCUCCUGUCUUCGAUGUAUGGCUGAUAUCUUUCUUUGUUUGGUUUUGGCUCCUUUACCAGGAGCCUGCUUGGGUAUACUAAACCCGAGGGGGCUCCCAACUAGUCAUCUCUGGACCUGAUUAUCAACCGGUACUGGUUGUGGACGUCCGACCAGGUCACAGCUGGAUACUCGAUCAAAUUCGGUUUCAACUGUUUUGAAGCCACCGAGCUUCGUUCAUUCAGACCUUGAGAGAAAUCCUGCACUGCCCAAUCGUUAGAGACUGGCGACAGAUCCAUCCGUUCCAUUUGAAAGCGAGAUACGAAUUCUCGUAGCAUCUCAUUCUCCCUUUUCUUAAUUUUGAAACGUCGGAUUUUCUUGUUGCUACUUUGAUGGCACCGGCAUGUGCCUUUAUGAAGGAGUCUACUAGCAUGGCGAAUGAAUCUAUGGAGUUAGGAGCUAAGUUGUGAUACCACAUCAUGGCCCCUUCGAGAGUGUUUCUCCGAACUUUUUCAGUAAUACGGACUCGAUCUCGUCGUUCUUUAUAUUGUUGCCCUUUUAUUGCGCAAGUGUAGGCAUUAACGUGUUCAUUGGGGUCUGAGGUCCUAUUGUACUUUUGGAGUUCCGGCAUUUUGAACUUCUUUGGAAUGGGUUUUGGGGCCGCUUCCUCGAGGAACGUCUUUUGUAUGAACUUCUUCGAAUCCAAACCUUUCAGGACCGGGGUGCGCCCGAAAUCUGGUCGACCCUGGAGUUGUAGGUUUUGACCUUCUUAUCGUUUGAUUCUAUUAUUUUCUCGCCCAAUUCGAUCCUUUUGGUUAGGUCCUCGAGUAUUUUUAUGAUGACAGGGUCGGCCAUCGACCCGUUAUUGCUCGAUCUCUCCGGUACCUGUUCGGCUGGGAGAGCUGUCCCCGGAGCUACCGUGCUAGGAGUUUUCUGGUUACUUUGCAGCUGAGCAAUAGCCAGUUAUUGUGCCUGUAACAUUUCAAAAAUAACAUGGAGGCUAACCUCACAUUCUUCCUUAGUUGUAGUUUUCUGUGCUUCUUGUUGAUCCCCUUGGCACAUGCUCCUGUCAGUAUGGGAGCUUAUGUCGAUACGCUGGGUGUCGUGUGAGACCGCGUCCACGGGGACUGGUUCUGGUGCAUUCCCAGGGUUUGGUGGUGGCACAACAAUGCCCGGAAUAGCCACACCAUUUUUCCCAUGGUCCUCAAGAUUGUUGUUUUCAUCUCCAUUUAUCGAGUUGGACAUUUCGACCUGAAAUCGAAGAUCUUGGACAAGAAAAAAUGUGAAAGAUAACUUGCGUUAUGUAGUAAAACCAGCAAGAAAAUAAUCAAUAUUAUUUUUAGCCCCACGGUGGGCGCCAAACUGUUUACCGUUGAUGGGACUCUAAAAAUAUGUGAUCUAUUUUUAUGCUAGUUUGUUAAGUAGUUGGUGCUAAAUGUAUGAGAUUCAGAAACAAAAUAAAGUUAAGGAGACAACUAUAAUCAAACCGAUAGGUCAGUUAUUCGGGGCCUCAGGCUUGUCGAUUUUGGGCCUCAAGGUCGUUCCCGGAGCUCGAUUACGAGCUAUCGAAGAUAGUUGCUAUGUGACUAACAGUUAUAAUAGAAUCAAUGGAGGCUCUUUAUGACCAAUGAUAGGCAAUAAAUGAUGAACAAAUAUGAAGACAACAAAUGAAAGCAAUAAUAUCAAGAGAGUGUAUGAGAGAGCAAAGUGAAUGUUCUUCUAUAUUUCUUAUGGAGCAGUUGGAGCAACAGAAUGUUACAAAGUGUCAAGGAUCCCCUUUAUAUAGGAGGGGAAAUCUCAACAUAGUACAAAAUACAUUAAUGAUAAAGAAAUCGGGAUGUGACAGCUGUCUAACUUCAUGAUGCAGGCUCAGACUAGCCUGACAGAUUUUGCUGGCCCUGGUUGCACUCUUCGAUAACUCCCCAUAUCUGUUGGGGUCGCGGCCAAUGUUAUACCUAGGUCAAGUGUCGAUGGACCUCGAGGGAGGGUACUCAGUUCGUGGUCUCGAGCCUUCGAGGUGAUCUUCUGAGAUGCCUUAUCAACGAGAAAUUGGUUCCUCCGAUUUUGCCAUAUACAAGGAUGUUGCAUUGUCUUCACCUGUCUCCUACAUCUGACUCAUCAUAUUAGACUUCCCAUUUGAAACAUCAGAUAUUUCCCAAGGACCAAAAGUUGUUCAUUAUCUUGAUCAUCAUUGUUUCCUCCUUUGUUAGAGGAGGGUGUCUUGUUGAAUAGCACAUGAACACUUCCUUCCACACAGUGUGCCCUUUUGUUGUAGACUUCGUGGGCAUUGCUUUGAGGGAAGUAUCUCAGAAGGGUUGUUUAUUACAUCAAACUUCCAUUGAGCAACUCAACGAAGGUCUUGUUUGAGGAGGGACCUGAUUAUACACCUGUUCACCAAGUAACAAGCCUCGUUUAUUGCUUCUGCCCAGAAACUUUUGGCAAUUCCCUUGUCAAUGAGCAUUAUCCAUUCCAUGUCUACCAGAGUUUUGAUCUUCCUUUCAACAACACCAUUUAGCUGUGGAGUCCUUUGUGCUGAGAAGUUGUGAGUGAUCUCAUCUCUAUUACAAGACUCAUCAAAUCUUGGCAUUGACUUAUUCUAUCCCGUGGUCAGAUUUGAUAUGUGCUUCCUUCAGUUCCGUCUCCACUUAGAUCUUUCCUGACAAGUAUCGCAAAUACUUCAAAAGUCUCUUCCUUUGCUCCAACAAGCAGUGUCCAUGUGGAUCUUGAAUUUUGGCAGCCCAGGAACCAGGUUCUUCUGAAUCAAUUCAUUCAGAAGUGAGAGCCUUGAGUGUUCCAAUCCUUUAUGCCAAGGUUUUGCAUCAUUGUCAACAGCCUUUAUGCAGCUCAUAUCAUCAGUUUGUAGAGAUUUAAGGUCGGUGAAGUAGAUGUUCUUGUUCUUUUGGAGACUAAGGUUACUUCACCAGUUACCAGAUUGGUAACUGUGCGCAUUUUGAUAAGAACUCUACUUUGCUCCCUUUAACACAGAUUUGAGAUACACUCAAGAGACUGUGCUUCAGGCAGCUCUUAGGGAACACACUUUCAAUUGAGUGUGACACAGACUUUCCAUCUUUUCAACACUGAGAAUGUACCUCUCCCUUUCCCUUUUUUUAAUAUAUAGGAUACAUUCCCUUUUCUGCAGGGCUUUCAGUGAGAGACAGUCCAUGGUGUUUUUAGCAUCCACUAUUCGUGAACCAUUGUAGUCCACUUCUUCUCAUUGUUCCCUGCACAUACAAAUCAUGGGUUAGAUUUAGGAACCCAAACUAGUUUGGGUCCCUUGUUAUGAGAAAAGGGAUGGAUGAGGGCUUUUCUAGUUCAUGCAGGUAAUAUUCGUUUCUUGCGAGCGGUACCUGGUCUAUCUUUUAGUCAUUUUUUCAGUAAACACUUUUUUUUCUGAAACGAUUGAACCCUGGCCUGGCAGUUUUCCUUGAAGUGCCAUUAUUCCCACAGUGGGUACACAGACAGUUAUCAGGAACAGUGACAUACUUGUUGUGAGGGUUGUAGGGAGUUUUCUCCUUUUGGAACUCAAUUCCCUACAUGUUUCCACUAUUGUUGAAGUACAUGGCAGUGACAACAUCUGAGAACCAGGUCCACUUCAGAGAUUUCUCAAGAUCAAUUUUUACUUUCUCCAAUUCAGCUCGAAGUUGCCUAUUUUUCUCAAGUUCACCACAUAGACUAGUUUUAACAUCAUUUAAUUCUUUUCAAGCUUGAUGUGUGUCUCACUAGCUACUUCCUUCCCUUUUCCAAGACUCACAAUCCUAUGUUCUCUAUUGAGUCCCUCAAUGGUUUCCUCUAGGUCAGUGAUUAUCACCAAAAAGUCAUCCAUCUCUUGCUCAGCAGCUGCAAUUUUCUCUUCUAGAGUAUGUUUCUCAUUGCUAAGACCUUCUAUGGUUUCCUUCAAAUCAACAACCACUACCAUUAGGUCAUCUCUCUCAUUUUCUACACUAUUUAUUUUUCAUUCAAACCUUCCUUUUCCUUUUCAAGAUUAGCUAUGGUCUCAUUUAGGUCCACUACAAAGACCACCAGAUCAUUUCUAGAUUGUUCAGCCUCUCCUAAUUCUAUGGUCAGGAUCUCCUUAUCAUUAUCAAGGCUAUAAUAUGCAUUAAUUAGAACAUUUACUAACGACCUUACUUCUUAAAAGAGUAUGAUUUCAGAUUUCUCUAAACAUCUCUGAAAUUUACCUCAUCAUUUUCAUCUUCUACAUCAUCGUCAGACCGAGCCAUCAGCGUGAACAGUGAAUCAUAUUUCAUUGCUUCAGUUUCCACUGCAAUCAUGGAGCUGUUUUCUGCAUCUGGUUCCCUUUCUGAUUCACUGGAGGAGUGUCCCCAAGCAGCAAGAGCUUGCUUCACAAUAUUGUCAACUGCACUUUUUCGACUGAAUUGUUUGUUUGGAACCGGGUUCCUUUUUGCUGCUUUGUCAGGGUUUUGUUUGUAUUUCUCCUGUUUCAGAAGUGGACAGUCUUUGAUGAAAUGCCUUGGUUUUUCGCACCUGUGUCAGAGAUCAUUGUUCCUUGCAUUACUUGAACUGCCCCUCUUUGGUAUACCACCAUUUCUUCAAACCAUCUUUUGAAACCUUUUAGUAAGAUAGGCCAUAUCACUAUCUUCUUCACUUGAGUCGUUGUCUUCAGCCUUGAGUAACAGGUUCUUUUCCUUCUUUGGCUCUUUCCUUUUACUGUCUUCCUUUCUUUUCAUCUUGUAUGUCUUCAAAUUACCAAUCAGCUCAUCCAUGGUUAGAGUUUGUAGAUCUUUAGCUUCAGUGAUGGCAUUUAAUUUACUUUCCCAAGAACCAGGUAGAAUACUGAGAAUUUUCCUUACUUUCUGGGAAUAACAUCUCCAAGUGAAUGAAGCUCAUUUAUGAUGGAUGUGAAUCUAGUGUGCAUAUCCUAUAUAGACUCAUCAUCCUUCAUCCUGAAGAGCUCAUGCUCAGUGGUGAGCAUGUCAAUCUUGGACUGUUUAACCUGAGUAGUUGCUUCGUGUGCGGUUUGCAAUGCUUCCCAUAUUUCUUUGGCAGAAUCACAAGCUAAGACUCUGUUUUACUCAUCAGGUCCUAUACCACAUACCAAGAUUUUCUUAGCGCGAUAGUUCUUCUCUACAACUUUUCUAUCAAUAUCACUGUACUCCUUUCUAUUUUUCGGCACCAUUGGUCCAGUUUCUCCAAGCUUCUUCAUAGGAACAUCUGGAAUAUCACAGAUGAUGUCCCAUAGUUCUGAAUCUUUAGCCAUUAUAAAAUCAUGCAUACGAGUCUGCCACCAGCCGUAGUACUGACCAUUGAAUCUAGGAGGUCUGUAAGUUGAUUGUCCUUCCUCAAAGUUGGGUGGAGCAGCCAUUGAAAUCCUUUCUAGGUGUUAACCUUUUAGAAAGAACCUGCUCUGAUACCAAUUAAUAGCUUAUAUGAGUCCACCAAACUAUAGAGCACCUGAUCCUAUAUGAGUUUCUGCUGAGAAUCCUUAUGAAGCAGUAAGUAAAAGAGACACGUGAUUUUUACGUGGAAAAAUUCCACUCAAGGGGACAAAAAACCACGACCUACACUUGUAGGCUUUCAACCUCGCUAACUUGUAAUCUCACUAUUACGAGCCACUUUGUAAUGACUCUAUUACAAAGACUUCAACUUAACUAACUUAUGAUACUCUUACCACAAGCCACUUUGUUACUCUCUAGUUACAAAGACUUUAACUUAUGACUAACUCUAGUCACAACACAAACUUAGAGGGUUUGUGAUUUUUGUGUUUCCUAAAACACAGCUUCUAAGAAAGCAAGAUAGGAGUUACAAUGAAGAACAAAUAAUAAGAUUACAACUCAACUACAGAUAUACAUAGACUCAUUGUGAAAUAGAUCCUUUAGUGGUGUUGUCUUCUUGUUCUUGGCACACUUGUGACUUCAAUGCUAGAUGAACACUUUUGUUGCUUGAGAGAAUAUCACCAAAUGCUCAUGUAAAAAUCUUGUGCCUUGCACCAGGCUGUUAUAUUACAAAAGACAUCACAAUGGUGAUGUCAAUUCUUGAUACACAUUUCUUCCCAAUGAGAAGUGGCUACCGCACUAUCUGCUGCACUGUUGCAUGUGCAGUAUGUAGACAGUCACUUUCUGCAUUUACGUUCCAGCUGUUGUUGACUUGUACUUUUGUCAGAUAACAUCAAGGGAUCAGGUCCCUGUUGUGUUUAUCUUUGUAGUAUUUCAUUUUCUGGAGAUCACACUGGACUUUGUUCAUUUGAGAUGAGUACCAAGUGAGUCAGGUUCUCUAUCUGGUUCUUAACAAUAAGUUUGUUAGAUCAUCAAAACAUAAGAAGCAUAAGGAAAGGACAUUGAAAACCCAUCAACAAUGUAUUCCAGCCAUAUCUUGAUUCCUUCAUCAUUGUGUUUAUUGACACCAUCUUGGUGUACCCUCGUAGAUGGGAGGAUCAUGAGUAGCAUCUGAGGAUCGUACUACAGACCUUGAGAAUGAAGAACUUGUAUGCAAAUUUCUCAAAGUGUGAAUUCUAGCUUGAUUCAGUGGCAUUUUGGGGCAUGUGGUGUCGAGUGAGGGGAUCAAGGUAGAUCCGAAGAAAAUUGAGGCAGUUCAGCGUUGGCCCAAACCGUCUUCAGCUACUGAGAUUCGGAGUUUCCUUGGUUUGGCCGGGUAUUAUCGCUAUUUUGUAGAGGGUUUCUCAUCCAUUCAUGCACCUAUGACUAGAUUGACCCAGAAGGUUGCCCCUUUCAAAUGGUCCGAGGAGUGCGAGGCGAUAUUUCAAAAGCUCAAGAUUUCUUUGACUACAACCCCGGUGAUGGUAUUGCCUACGGGUUCGGGGUCUUACACUGUGUAUUGUGAUGCAUCACGCAUUAGGCUUGGCGCGGUGCAGAUGCAAGACGAUAGUCUGAUUACCUACGCUUCUCAGUAGUUAAAGGUCCAUUUGAAGAAUUAUCCGGUCCAUGACUUGGAAUUGGCAGCUAUUGUUCAUGCAUUGAAGAUUUGGCGGCACUAUUUGUACGGUGUCCUAUUUGAGGUCUAUAUCAACCACCAGAGUCUCCAGCAUUUGUUCAAAUAGAAAGAUCUUAACUUGCGGCAGCGGAGAUGGUUAGAGUUGUUUAAAUACUACCAUUAUUCUAUAUUAUCCCGGGAAGGCCAACAUGGUGAUCGAUGCCUUGAGUAGAAAGGCAGAGAGUUUGAGCAAUUUAGCAUAUCUACCGGCAGUAGAGAGGCCACUAGCCUUGGAUGUUCAGGCCUUGGCUAAUCAGUUUGUUAGAUUGGAUGUUUCGAAGCACAGUCGGGUUCUUACUUAUGUGGUUUCUUAGUCUUCCUUAUAUGAGCGCAUCUGAGAAUGUCAGUGUGAUGACCCCCAUUUGCUUGUCCUUAAGGACAUAACACAACACAGUGAUGCCAAGGAAGUUUCUAUUUAAGAUGACAGGGUGUUGCGGAUGCAAGGUCGGUGAUGUGUGCCCAAUGUAGAUGGGUUGCAUGAGUUGAUCCUUGAGGAGGCCCACAGUUUGUAGUACUCCAUUCAUUUGGGUGCCACUGAGAUGUAUCAGAAUUUGAGGCAGCAUUAUUGGUGGAGGAGAAUGAAGAAAGAUAUAGUGGAGUAUGUGGCUCGGUGCCUGAAUUAUCAGUAGGUGAAGUAUGAGCAUCAGAGGCCGGGCAGUUUGCUUCAGAGACUUGAGAUUCCUGAGUGGAAAUGGGAGCACGUUACCAUGGAAUUCGUUGUUGGAUUCCCACGAACUUUGAAAAAAUUUGACGCAAUAUGAGUGAUUGUAGACAGAUUGACCAAGUUGGCUCAUUUCAUUCCGGUGGUGACUACCUAUUCUUCUGAGCAGUUGGCUUAUAUCUAUAUCCAUGAGAGUGUUCAUCUCCACGAUGUGUUAUUGUCCAUUAUUUCCGAUUGAGGUACGUAAUUUCUGGGGAGUUGUGUAGCGUGAGUUAGGUAUACAGGUUGAGUUGAGUACAACAUUUCACCCCUAGACGGACGGGUAGUCCGAGCGCACCAUUUAGAUAUUAGAGGAUAUGAUUUGUGCCUAUGUUAUGAAUUUUGAGGGUUCUUGGGAUCAGUACUUGCCGCUUGCUGAGUUCGCCUACAAUAACAACUACAAAUCGAGUAUUUAGAUGGCUCCUUAUGAGGCCCUAUAUGGCAGGCAAUGUCGUUCUCCAGUUGGUUGGUUUGAGCCGGGAGAGGCGAGGUUCUUGGGCACAGAUUUGGUUCGAGAUGCCUUGGAGAAAGUCAUGUUGAUUCAGGAUCGGCUUCGUACAGCCUAGUCUAGACAGAAGAGUUAUGCUGAUCGGAAGGUUAGUGAUGUAGCAUUUAUGGUUGGAAAGCCGUUUUUGCUCCGGGUUUCACCCAUGAAAGGUGUGAUGAGGUAUGGGAAGAAGGGCAGUUGAGCCCUAGGUAUAUCGGUCCUUUUGAGAUCCUUGAGAGAGUUGGUGGGGUGUCCUAUAAGCUUGCAUUGCCACCCAGCUUAUCGGCAGUUCAUUCGGUGUUCCAUGUUUCUCUGCUCCAGAAGUAUUAUGGUGAUCCAUCUCAUGUUAUAGACUUCAGCUCAGUACAAUUGGACAAGGAUUUGACUUAUAUUGAGGAACCGGUAGCUAUCUUGGACAGACAUGUCCAGAAGUUGAGAUCAAAGAAUAUUGUUUCAAAGAAGGUUCAAUGGAGGGGUCAUCCGGUUGAAGAGGCGACCUGGGAGAUCGAGCAUGACAUGCAGAGUCAUUAUCCUCAUCUAUUUAACACUUCAGGUAUGUCUCUAUGCACGUAUGAGGACAAACAUUUAUUUUAAGAGGGGGAGAAUUUAACGGCCUGACCAGUCGUUUUGUGUAAUUGCGCUUUGUUUCCCCUUUUUAAGCUUCACAUAUAUGUAAUUUAGGUUUAAUAACUUACGAGGUUGAUUAGUUUUGUUUCGCAAGGAUUUUGGAUUGAUUUAGACUUUUUGGCUCUUGGCUUAGAAGCCUAAGUUGAUUAUGUUGACCGAUAUUUGACUUUUGUAAAAAUGACCCUGUAACGAUGUUUUGAUGGCUCAGACAGCUUCGUAUCGUAGUUUUGGACUUGGGAAUAUGCCCGGAUUCGAAUUCGGAAAUCCGUAAGUUGAUUUGUGUUAUUUUGCUGAAAUAUUGGCAAUUUAAGGUUUAGAAGUUUGACCUUAGGUUGACUUUGGGCUAUCAGGUUCGAAAUUUGGUUUUGGGACUCGGAAUAGGUCUGUUAUGCUAUUUUGAACUUGUCUACAAAAUUUGGUAUCAAUUGGAAUUGAUUUGAUAGGAUUCGGGUGCUUGGUUGUAAUUCUAGAAGUUUUUGAAGUUUACUUUGAAAUUCAUACAUUUUGGUGUCCGGUUCAUAGUUCAAGAUAUUAUUUUUAUGUUAUGAUCAUGCGAGCAAGUUCUUAUGGUAUUUUUAGACUUGUGUGGAUAUUUGAUUUGAAGCCUCGCGGGCUUGGAUGAGUUUUGGACAUGUAGCAUAUUGGUUUGAACUGAAAAUGGAACUACUGGUGUGCUAAUGCCUUUGGUGUCGCAUUUGCGACCUUAGCAGAGGGAUCACAGGUCUUGCAAUUGCGAAUCCCAUGUCGCAAUUGUGACUUCCUACAUAAGCUAUCAGUACCGUAUUUGCGAGAUUUCCUUCACAAUUGCGAGGGUUCUCAAUUGCAAACCCCGUGUCGCAAUUGCGGCACCUACAACUGCAUAUCAUUAAAUAUUUUAAAAACCUAGGCUCGGUAGAAGGCAAUUUGGAGAGGGGAUUUUCAUCUACAAACAUUAGGUAAGUGAUUCUAAUCAAUUUCAAACUACAUUUCACGAUUUUAUCUUAGAUUUAACAUCAAAUUUAUGGAAAUCAAAGAGGAAAAAUUAAGAAAUUUUUAAGUUUUUGAAAAAUGAAGAAUUGAGUUUUGAGAGUCGAUUUGGACUAGGAUUUAAAAAUAAAAUACAUAUAUGAACUCGUGGGGUUAUAGGUAGUUUGAAUCUACUCUUAGAUCCGGGUUUUGACCGGCGAGCCCGGGGUUGACUUUUGUUGACUUUUUGGGAAUGUUAUAAAGAACAAAGCUUUAUAUAUUGUAAUUAUUUGUCCUUAUAUUGUUUGAUGAUAUUAAGUCACUUUUGGUAAGAUUUGAGCCGUGUGGAAGCGAAUUUUAGGGCAAAAGCUAUUUUCGAGGGUUGAGUUGGCCUUGUUAAGGAAAGUAUCUUUUUGGAAAAAAAUGACUUUCAAACUAAAAGUAAGGCUCCCGCAGUGAUAUAAGGAAAUAUUGUGGUUGAUAUUGAGAAAUGUGAAUACGACACGGUACCUCGGUUGUGAUUCUUGAUGUGAACUUCAUAUUGAACAGAGUUAUUGUUUGAACAGUUCUUGUUGUUUUUAUUCUUCCUAUGUCUUACCAGUUUUGUCCGUAUCUAAUUAUUUGUGGUUCUCAUUAUUUGCUUCCUUCUUCUUGUCUUUAUGCUUACAGUUCUGUCAUUAGUUUAAGUUAUUAAACUUCCUUGUUAUCAUACAUUUCUUCGCUUUCUAUUACUUCUCGUUAGUAUAUUCUUGUUCCGUUUAUUUUGUCCUAGUAGGUGUCUUCACCUGGCCUCGUCACUAUUCUACGGAGGUUAGUCUUAAUACUUACUAGGUACCGCUGUGGUGUACUCAUACUACGCUUCUGUAUAUUUUUUGUGCAUGUCCAAGUACAACUGCCCGUGCUGGACGCUAGAGGUUUAUUGGUUAGCUGCUUCUAGAAGACUUCAAGGUAUACCUACACGACAUUCGCACGCCUUGAAGUCACCUUCUGUUUUUAGACAUCCUACUGUUUAUUUCUUGUUCCAAAAUAGUAUUGUAUUGCUAGACUAUUAGUACAUUCUUAUAGAGUUUAUGACUCUGUUCCACUAGGUUUUGGGGAGUUGUUGUCAGCUAUACUGUUGAGUUUUAUUAUGUUAGUUACAUGGUUUAAUUUGAAGUUUUACUAUUAAUUUUGUUAUUUCUAUAUGCAUGUUAGGCUUACCUAGUCUUAGAGACUAGGUGCCAUCACGACAUCCUAUGAUAGGAAAUUGGGGUCAUGACAAUGACAGACACUCAGCAAGGAAGACUAGCAAACAAAUAACAGAUAUAUGGCUAAUAUUGUUCAUAAAACCUAAAGAUAUUAGCUCUGCAAGUACUUCUAGGAACACAUUUAAAUAAAGGAUUAUAAAUUCUUGAAAUGUAAGUAAUAAAAUAUGGUGAAGAAGCAAAGCUAAAAGAUAAACAAACUAAGGCAAUUAUUUUAGCUAAUUCUUCCAGGUCUUUCAUUGAAUCAUAUUUACCAAAUAAACUGCUAGUAUUUAUGUUAAGUUUUUGUUGGCCAGAUUGCUCAUUAGCACUGCAUGCAAUAGGGUGGUGAUGCAUCACGUGUCUACGAAGUUAACCUCUCUCCCCUUGCAUACCCCCCCCCCCCUUCUCAUGAUUAUAAGCUACAUUACAAAUAUUAUUUUAUAUAAUCCUUAUGAUCUUCUAGUCUAGUAAAAAAAUUUCACCACUUACUUUUCAAUCUUUGGUUCCUCGUAAUAGGGACUGCAGGCAUACCCACCAUGGCCACCACUAUUAGUUUGACUAGUAGUGCCAGAUAUAGGUGAUGUUAUUUCAAGAUUAUCAGGUGACUCGAUAUUAUCUAAAUCGUCAUUUGUACCACAAUUUUCUUGUAGUUGAUCAUAAUCAAUAGAUAUAUGCUCAAGUGAUGUUUGAGAAACAUGUAUAUAUUAUUUGCAUUACUAGUACUAGAAGAACCAUCUCUAGUUACCCUUACCCCUAGUACACGCUUUUUUUUGUUGCUCUAAGUAUUUUUGUUGUGCAAAUUAAAUUAAAAUGACUAAAUUAAUAAUUCUAAAUAAGAAAAUAAAAAUAAGCGCCAAAGAAGAGAAAACGAUGGAAUGAGCAUACCAGGAUGUUGCACUAAUUUUGAAAUUUGAUACCCCUAAAUCGCAAUAGCACACUUCACUUGAUAAUUUAUAAUUUUAUAGUGGCUACCGUAAUUAAAAUUAAAAUUAAAAUAAAUUUGGAAUAGCAAUUAAUUGAUAGCAACUAUAAUAAAGAGGGGCUAUUUAUAGUUUUUUAAAAUGUUAAUAUUAUAAUUAGGAGUGGUGCUAUUUGUUAGAGGGCGAAUUGCAACAUAAAAGAAGCCAUUGGGCAAAGAUUUCUUCAAAUUCUAACCAUUGGCAAUGGUCAAAUUUCUGGAUUUGUUUACCAUUAUAUCGAUAAGGAAUUAGUAAUUCUUUAUCGGGCCAACCAGGGCUCGGUGCACUGGUACCACAAAAAGGCUCUCAUUCUCCCGGACCACCCACCUAUAGAGCCCCCCCCCCCCCUUCUUAUCGGACUGGACGAACCCAACUUGAUAGAAACUAGGAGUACACUAAGCAGUAUAGAGAACCAAGUCCUCUAUCUAAUCCUAUAGUAAAUAAGCAAAAAGUAAAGAACACGCGAUAUUUAUGUGAAAAACUCACUACUCAAGGGAUUAAAAAUCACGACCUACCCCAAUAGGAUUUCAACUCAACUAAGCCGAGCAAACUUUAGAUUACAAUCUAUUGAAAUCUGUGAAUUAAAUUCUUAAUCCCCCACCCUUUACAACAACUCUAUUUUAAGCCCUUUGCAAUAACUCUAUUACAAAGCAACAAACCAUGAGUAACUCUAGUAAAGAAAGCAAACCAAGCGAUGGUUAAAAGAUGUCUUGCAAAGACAUUUCUUGAGAGUAGUGUAGGAUUACAAAUGAAAAAUAAAAUAAGGCAAAAUAGCUUCCUGGCCACUUAAACUUGUACGGUUUUUAAAGGUCGAUAUAUGAAUUUCAACUUUCUCAUUUGAACACUCGAACUCAUUUUUCCUAUAACUAAUAAAUACAUUUGAGCAUUGACCAUGCGUGCGUGUAUUACACAUACACAUACGUGUCCAUCCAGUAAGCAAAUGACCACUGGAUGUCUUACAUGUCAAGGCCGCGAAAACCCUAACCCAACAGAUCGAAGUUCCAUCUUUUAUUCCAUAGACCGACCCCCUCCCUCAUUUAAACCUCUCUAUAAGCAAAUCCUCCCCUGAUAAACCCAGGUUACCAAUGGGCGAACAAUCACUCACCCCCUUCCAAAAUCGAUCAUAAUCACUUACCCAUUUUUUUCCGUUUAUUAUAUGUUAAUUUUGGUUCUGAUCGAGCUUCAUUUGGUCAGUGCUUUCGAUUCCAGUGAUGUUAUAUGAUCUUAAGGUUUGUUUGUCUCUUUUUUAUUCAUCAUUUUCACGGUCUAGAAAAAGAAAAAAAAUAGCAAUUAAGCUUCAAAUUUUACAAAAUGGAGGAAUGAAGCUUCAGAUUUUAAAAAAAUCAAGGAAUAGGGUAUUUUAGAAGGAAUGAAUAAGAAGACACUUAAAUACAACCCAUUUUGUACCAUUGGGCAUUGUGAAUGGGGCUUUCAUGCUUUUGUAUCGUGUUGCUCACGCAGCCUAGUGAUUAGGACCAACCGAUGCCAUAGGGGCAUGGUUAAUGGUCUAAUGUGUUUAUUACUUAUCGAAAAAAUAAGUUGGAGUGUUCCAAUAGGAAAGUUGAAAGUUCAUUUAUCGGCUUUUAAUACACCUACAAUUUUAAGUGGCUAAGAAGUCAUUCUACUAUAAAAUAACAAAGACUCAACAAACUUAAGGACUUAAGAUAUCUUUAAUGUCGGAUCUAGUCCUUGAGGUUGUAGCAACUUUGUUCUUGAAAAGGACUUGAAGAAUAUGGUGUAUAGCACUUGAGAGAAUAUGAUUUUUGAUAUGCAAGUGUUAGGUCAAACCUUGAAUCAAGUUUUAUAUAUAUGAGAAAGCAUGCGAGAAGAGAUAGAGACAUUUCAAGUUUUAACUUUGGCCUCUAGCAAGCUGCAGUUGUGUUGUUGCACUACUUUUAGUCGGUACAGUGCAACAGCUUUUACAACUAUAGAGUUGAUUGUACGACGGUCAAGGAAACUGAUCACAUAUAGUCCCUAUCUAGUUCGUCGAGAACGUUUAACUAGCAUCAAAACAUGAAGUAACAUAUCUGCUGCCAGUCGGUACAACGCAACAGUUUUUACAACUGUAGAAUUGACUAUAUGAUGGAUACGGGAAUUGAUCAUAUCAAGUCCAUACCUGAUUCCUCGAGAACGUUUGACCAGCAUCAAAACAUGAAGUAACAUAUUUGUUGCCAGUCGAUACAGUGCAACAACUUUUAUAACUUUAGAGUUGAUUGUAUGACAGCCACGGGAACUGAUCAUACCUGCUCCCAAUAUGGUUCCUCAAGAACGUUUGAACAACAUCAAAGUGUAAAGUAACAUAUAAUAUCAAGGCCAAAGGAACGGCUCACAGAUAGGUCGUAUCUGGUUCCUUGAGCCUGUUUGGCAACUCAUCAAAACACAAAAUAGCAUAACUUAUCAAUUUUUCCCUUUUUGAUGAUAACAAACCCAGAAUUGAGAUUCCCCUUGAGAACCAGAUUCCUAUGUGUUCCCCCUACAGAUCAGACCUAUAAUCAACACGUUAACAACAAAGUUCCCCCUCUGAAGUAAACUUAUCUUUCAUGCGCAACACAACAUAUCAAUUCAAUUAUGUUCCUUCCCCGUGUUGACACCUAUGUAACUCUCCCCUAUUGGCUUCAUUGAAAAGAAUUACAGAAGAAGCACAAGUAAAAAGAAGUUCAGCAACAUUAACUCAUACCACUUGGGCAACACAACACAAAUAAUAGCAGAAACAACAAGUGAGUAGCAUUGCACAAAAUAUAGUGAUUGCUCAUAGAUGAUUUAUGUUAAGCAAGAGUGUAGCAGUUUCAACAAUAUCAAAAUAUGACAAUUUAAACAACUAAAGUACCAAUGUUAUCGAGGGAUCAAAAGAAGAUAGGAAUUUGAGGGAAUUUGGAAGAGGUGAAAGACAUGGGUCACUGGUCAGGAAGAAUAUUAAGUGGCUAAGACUUUUGAUGAGCUUGUCCAUUCGUUCAUUUGCAGUCCUCUGAUCAAUGAUCAUCGUCUCUCUCAAGUCCUCCACAUGUUUCCUCAAUCUUUCAUUCUCAGCCUUCAAUUGAGCAUUCUCUUCUACAAAGGGACCAUUGGGACUUGGUUCUCUACCUCUCUGAGCGGGAUGAACCAUCAAUCAGAACACCAAGAAUCUCCCCAAGCUUCUCCUCAUCAAGAAAAAACUCAAUCCCAUUCACAUAUAGCAUCAGAGUAUAUCCUAUAACAUAGAAGGUUUUUAUUUCUUCUUCAUAGACGUUAGCACUUGGAAGAACAAAGAGGUGAUUCUACUUUUGGAACUCAAUAAUGUCAUGAAGUUCCUUCAUUUUUAGCAAUAUCAGAGUCAAACACUAUGCCCAAUAACACUUUUUCAGACUUUAGAGUCUUCUUCCUCUCCAACUCCGAUAACUUAACCUUUUGCUUCUAUAAGGAACCAGGCUCCUCACUCAAACAACUCUUUCUUUUGUUAAGCAAUCAGGUCUCCCUCUUCUCCUUCUCAAUCUAUUCAACCUAAUCAUAUGUUGCAUCUUUCUCAGCCUACUUUCUUUUUUCUCUUCUUUGAAUUCUUUUUGACAAGUGCAGAUUUUUUUAAACCUAAUUCUCUUUAUCCUCCACAUUCACAACAUCAGUAGGUGAUGCCAUUUCAUCAUCAAUCAACCUACUUUUCACCAAUCCUCUUUACUAGAUUAGUGGUUUGUUUAAACACAAAGCUCAAAAGGUCAUCAUCAAAAUCAACAUCCUGCGAUGGACUUAAGGAUCAGGUCCCUCAUUCAGUUUCCCAUUUUUUAGCACAUUCACUUAUUCCCCCUAAGUUCCUUCACCACUUCUUCUAUCCUUUAAGACUUCUACAAACCCAGUAAUAAUUUCAGCCCUACUCUCCAGAAUAUUAGAUCUACCCUUUUCUCUUUUAAUUAAAGUCUCAUCAUAAUCUACCAAAGACUUCUUGGGUUUUGAUUCAGAUGGAGUUGGGAUUUUGGAAGGUGACAGAGUUUGGUUUACUUCUAGCAUAUUUGGAGAUGAUGCUCCGUGUGAUACAUCUUUGAUCUUGGUUUAAAAUAGGAUGAAAAGAACCGUUUUUGAUUGGGCGUGGGAGAAUGAAAUGGUUUUGGGGCAACUGGUCGAUUUAGAAGAGGUGUAACGUUUUGGACUUCAAAAGUUAGAACAGAGGCGAGAAGAGCUUAAUGACAUGGCACUCAAGCAAUUUAAAAGGCAUAUAAGUAUUGAAGAGACUACUAACCUGGGUCACAGGAACCAGGUUUCUUGACAGUUUCUAAAAUUUUGAGCAAAAACUCCUAGAAAUGCAAUGUCACUCAUACUUGUUUUGUCCUAAAACUGUCAUGUGUCUAUACCUGUAACAAUAUAAAAUUGAGUUAGAUGCCGCCAAAAAAAUACUUUUUAGCAUUGUACAUUUCUUUCUUAGCAUAACUAGUCAUUGAGGGAACUUGUUCUUAGUUGAGCUUGAGCAAGCCCAAAUCUAGACGAUUUCUUUCAAAAUGUUCCCUACUCAACGCUUUGAUGAAGAUAUCUGCUUCCUGGUCCUCCGUCUUGCAAAAUUUCAUACAGAUUAGACCAUUUUCAACAUUGUCCCUCAAGAAAUGACGUCUCACAUCAAUAUGCUUUAUCCUUUUGUGCUGCACCGGGGUCUUUGACAUGUUAAGAUCACUUGUAUUAUAACACAAUAAGGGUACACAAUCCGUAUAUACACCAAAAUUCUUAAGUUGUUACUUGAUCCAUAGCAGUUGUGCCCAACAUGAAGCAAUAGUCACAUACUUAGCUUCAACAUUUGUACCCCAUGAGAUCAAGCAUGAUCCCAAAAAAUAUACCAUUCUAGAUGUUCUCUUUAUAUUGACCAAAUAUCCAGCAUAAUCAGCAUCAGCAUAUCUAACCAAGUCAAAAUUAUCUCUUAAAGGAUAGAAGAGGACCAGGUCCUACGUUCCCUUAAGAUACUUCAAAAUUCUUUUACCAGCCUUUAAGUGAAAUUCUUGUGGGCCUUAUUAGAACCUAGCACACAACCCAAUACUAAAAACAAUAUCAGGUAUGCUAGUAGUCAAGUAUAGAAGAUACCUAAUGAUUACCCUAUACAUAUUUUCAUUGAUAGGAGAACCAGGUUCGUCCAUGUCUAAUCGAGUAGCAGUGGCAAUAGGUGUAUCACUGGUCUUAGCAUUCCCCAUCUUAAAUCUUUUCAGUUGCUCCUUGAUGUACUUUUGUUGACUGAUCAUAUUGCUUUUUGAGGUUUGCUUUAUUUCUUAUUGUGUUUCCAAAUUCAUCAAGCUUGUUUCGGAACACCCACCUGGUUCGAAUCAAUGUUCUAUCUGAAGGAUUAGGGACCAGGUGCCACACUUUAUUUCUCUCGAACUGAUGGAGUUCUUCUGGCAUAGCAGCUAUCCAGCCAGCAUCUUUCAAUGCUUCCUUGAUGUUCUUAGGCUCAAUUUGAGACAAGAAGACUGAGAAGGCAAACAUAUUCCUUGCUUUAUAUCUAGUUUGAAUACUAGAGUCUAAGGGAAUGAUUACAUUUUGAAGGGGAUAUGAGAUCUUGUGCUUCUAGUUUGAUACUUAAACUUCAAGAUUCGAGGGACCUGGUUCCUCCAUAUUCGAUCCAUCAUUUACAUCAAAAGAAGUAUGACUUUCACUUCUUUUUCCAGCAUCAGGAGUACCUGAUACAGUAUCAGCAACCCUUUGUUCAGCUUCAAUUGAGGUAAUAGAGGGACCAGGUUCCUCUGUGCCUUCUGGAGAUUCUCCUGGUUCUUCUUUAUCGCUCUACUUGACUUGACUCAUCAAAUCAGUCUUCCGAUUUGCAAUAUCUAUAGCUUCACUAGGAACUAUUGUAAAUUCUCCAUCUUCAUCUUUUUCGUUAUGUUACCCUUUGCCACUUGAUUCAUGGGAUUCAUCAAAGAUCGCAUGCACACAUUCUUCUACACACUGGGUUCUUUUGUUGUAGACUUUGUAUGACUUUCUUUGAGAGGAGUAACCAAGAAAAAUUCCCUCAUCACUUUUUGCAUCAAAUUUUCCCAAAGUCUUCUUACCAUUAUUGAUAACAAAAUGUUUGCAUCCAAAGGCUCUCAAACAAGUGAGGUUUUCUCCCAUUGAGCAGUUCAUAGGGAGUCUUCUCGAGUAGAGACUUGAUCAUGCACCUAUUAAUAAAGUAGCAGGAAGUGUUGACUGCUUCAGUCCACGAACCAGGUCCUUCAUAACCAACUUGUUCAGUAAAGAAAAACUUGCAUGUCCCAGUCAUCUGCGCUAUAACUCAGCAUCAUCAUCAAUGGCACUUAGGCAUGUUAGAUCACCAUUAUUCAGUGAAUGAAGCUCUACAACAUAGAUGUUCUUGAACCUUUUUGUCUGUUGACAACACUUCACCAAUUUUGAUAUUGGUAACAGUGUAAGAAUUGGACAAGAACUUCACUUCAUUUUCCUUGUCACAGAUUUGAGACACACUCAACAUGCUAUAUUUAAAGUCAGUCACAUUGUACAUAUUUUCAAUUUCAUGGGAGAGUGUUUUGCCAAUUUUUCCCAACACCAAGAAUAUAGCCCUUCUUGCGUCUCUAGAGGACACACUCCCACCUUGGAAGGCUUUGAAUGAGAGAAAAUCAUCCAUUCUUCUAGUCAUAUGCUUCGAGCGGCCACUAUCCAUGUACUAUUUUUGGCUGCUUCCUCUCACUCCAGCCUGCAAAUAAAAUUACUGAUUAGAUUUAGGAAGCCAAGCCAUCUUGGGUCCCUUAUAAUAAUAGAGAAGGUGAAUCAAACCUCUUUUUGCCCAUGCUGCUAGCAUAUAUUUUCUUUCCAAAGAACCAGGUUCCUCAGCAGUAGGUCUCUUUUCAACAAAAACUUAUUUUUCUGUAGAGACUAAAUUGUAGCUUUACAAGAAUCCUUGUUAUGGCCCAUUUGACCAUAAUAAGUACAAGGCCAAUUAUCAGCCACAUUUACAUACUUUCUAUGAAGAUUAUAGGGAGUUCUAGCCUUUCGAAAUCUGAUUCCUUGCCUGUUUCCACCAUUACUCUUGUACAUAGGCAUUAUUAGAUCAGAGGACCAGGUCCAUUUAAGUGACUUAUCAAGAUUAUAUUUAACCCUAUUCAGAUCCUCAUAAAGUUUUCUAUUCUUUUCAAGCUCAACAACAAGACUUGUUUUAACUUUCUUAAGUUCAUUCUUAAUAUCAAGUUGAGCUGCACUAGCUACUCCUUUUCCCUUAGGUGUAUUCAUCUAUUUUUCUAUUUGAUUUUUCAACAAGGUAUUUUUUCUAGUUAUGUCUUCCACUUGUUCUUUCAGAUCUGCAAGUACGACCACCAUGUCAUCCCUCUCUUGUUCUACAUCACCAAUUUCUUCAAUUAAUGUAUUUUUCUUACUUGUCCUACAUCACCAGAUCUGUAAUUAAGACCACCUCAUCUUCCUCCUUGUCCUCAUCAUCAUCGGAUUUAGCCAUGAAUGCAAAUAUAGAAUCAUAUUCUGAGGAUUCAUUUUCAAUAGCCAUCAUAGAUGUAUCUCCUUGGUCAUCUUCACCUUCAGAUUCAUGGGAGGAAUCUCCCUAAGCAGCUAGUGCUUGCUUCACCACGUUAUCAGCAACAUCUCUUCUUUUAAACCUUCUGUCAGGGAUCAGAUUCCUCUUAACUGCUUUGUUAAUGUUGUUUUUAUAAUGAUUCUAUUUGUGGAGUGAACAGUCUUUAAUGAAGUAUCCGGACUUUCCACACUUAUGACAACAAUCAUUUCUUUUGAAGUUUCUGCUCGAACUUCCUCUCUUGGGAAUCCUACUAUUUCUUCUAUUCAUCUUUUGGAAUCUUUGAGUGAGAUACACCAUGUCAGAUUUAUCACUACUUGGAGUCGUUAUUGGAAGCCUUGAGAACCAGGUUCUUCUCCUUCUUGAGCUCUCUUAUUUCACGAUCUUUUUUUCUCUUCAUCUCAUAGGUUUUGAGAUUUCCUAUAAGCUCGUCAAUAGUCAACUUCUGCACAUUUUUAGCUUCAGUGAUCGCAUUAACUUUGCUCUCCCAGGAACCUGGUAGAACAUUGAGUAUCCUCUAGACCAGCUUGUUGGUUGGAAUGAUUUCACCAACUGAAAGAAGCUCAUUGAUUAUAGAGGUGUAACGGGUAUGCAUAUCUUGAAUAGACUAGUUCAUACUCAGUUUUAAGCAUAUCUAGCUUGGAUUGCUUUACCUAGUAGUUCUCUCAUAUGCAGUUUGGAGAGCUUCCUAGAUCUCUUUGGCAGAUUCACAUGCUGAGAUGCGAUUAUAUUCAUCUUGUCCAAUAUCACAAACAAGAAUCUUCUUUGCCUUGAAGCUCUUUUCAACAGCCUUUCGAUCAGCAUCGUUGAUUCCUUUCUAGUCUUUAGGAUAGUACGUAUCCCCUCUCAAACAACUUUCGUAGGAACAAAAGGACCAUCACAAAUCAUGUCCCACAACUCGGAGUCCUCAGCCAUGAUGAAGUUAUGCAUUCUUGUUUUCCACUAUCCAUAAUACUUGCCAUUGAAUCUUGGAAGUCUUGUGGUUGAUUGAUCUUCCUCGAGGUUUGGUAGAGCAGUCAUAAUGUAGAUCCUUUCUAGGUUUUAAACUUUUAGAAAGAACCUUCUCUAAUAACAAUUAAUAGAAAUUAAGAGUCCACCAAACGGUAUAGAGAACUAGAUUCUCUAUCUGUUCCAACAAUAAAUAAGCAGAAAGUAAAUAACACACGAUAUUUACGUGGAAAACUCCCUGCUCAAGGGAUUAAAAACCACAACCUACCCCAAUAGAAUUUUAACUCCACUAAAUCGAGCAAACACCAGAUUACAACCUAUUGCAAUAUAGAAAUUAAACUCUUAAUUUCCUGGCCCCUUAAAAUAACUCUGUUGUAAGCCCUUUGCAAUAACUCUAUUACAAAGCAAUAAACCUUGACUAACUUUAGAUCAAGAAAUCAAACCAAACGAUGAUUGAAAUAUGUCCUACAAAGACACUUCUUGAAAAUAGUGUAGGAUUACAAAUGAAGAACAAAAUAAUGAAGAUUCAAUAAACCUAAGGACUUAAUCGGAUCUGGUCCUUGAGGUUGUAGUAGCUUUGUUCUUGAAAGAGCCUUGAAGGCAAUGGUGGCUAGAACUUGAGAGAAUAUGAUUUUUUUGAUUUGCAAGUACUAGGUUAAACCUUGUAUCAUGUUCUAUAUAUAUGAGAGAGCAUGCGAAAAGAGAUAGAGAUAUUUCAUCUUUUAAUUUGGCCUAUAGCAAGCUGCAGUUGUGCUGCUAUACUGCUGCCAGUCGGUACGGUGCGACAGCUUUUACAACUAUAGAGUUGACUGUACGAUGGCCAAGGGAACUGAUCACAUCUGGUCCAUAUCUAGUUCCUCGAGAAAGUUUGACCAGCAUCAAAACAUGAAGUAACAUAUAUGUUGCCAGUCGAUACAUUGCAACAACUUUUAUAACUUUAGAGUUGACUGUACGACGGCCACAGGAAUAGAUCAUAUCUGGUCCCUAUCUGGUUCCUCGACAACGUUUGGCCAAUAUUAAAACAUGAAGUAACAUAUCUGUUGCCGGUCGGUACAGUGCAACAACUUUUACAACUGUAGAGUUGAUUGUACGACAGCCAAGGGAACUGAUCGUAUCUGGUCCCUAUCUGGUUCCUUGAGAACGUUUGACCAGCAUCAAAACAUGAAGUAACAUGUCAUCAAGGCCAAAGGAACUGCUCACAACUGGUUCCUAUCUGGUUCCUCGAGACUGUUUGGCAAAUCAUCAAAACACAAAAUAGCAUAACAUAUCACAAACUAUAUAGGGUCGAACCGGUCAUAAAUUGGCUAGCCCGGCCUGAUACACCUUUAAUUCGUAGUAUGCAUCACUUUUGGACUUUUUUCCAAUUAAUAUUUUGUUACGAAUCUUGUAUAGACUUCUAGUUAUACUGAUUUCAGGAGCAAAACAUGUCAGCAUGUUUACUUUGACAAGAUCGACUUUGGAAAACAACCGACUUUUAUUUAAUGGGAUUGUCAAUCCCCAAUUAGGAAAGCAUACAUGAAUUGAAUGAUCCAGGUUGCAUAUGAUAACUUUCCUAAUAAAGGCUCUAUUUCCAUUGACCAAAUAAUAACUUUAAUAAAAAGAACUAACAAUCUUUACAAAGAGACUGCAAUCACAAGUAGUACUUUCCAGGUAUUCGUAGAUUUGAAAAAUGUGGUUAUACUAUUAUUGAUUAGAAUCUUGAGAUAGAUUUGCUUCCAUCUCUGUUCAAAAGUAAUUGGAGUUCUUUAAUAUUAUAUUACUUGGCUUAUUCUAACUUCUAGUGCAGAUAGUCAAUGUUGUUAAACAAAAGGUCAAAGAAAUUGCAUGGCUUAUGUUGUACUUUGAAGGAGUCUCUUCCUUAAAACCUAUACAUCUACCGACCCUACACUAUUUUGGUUUGACGAGUUAUAUAUAGUAUAAAUGAACAGUAAGAGGUACAAACCCAAUAAUUAUAUGGCAGUAGCCUGUAGGUAGACGUGAAAUAAAGCUUUACUAUUUUAAGUUCAAUAAAACUUUGAAUAUUACAUGUAAAAAUGGAUCCAGAAUUUAAAGUUUAUGAAUUUCAAUAGCAACCUUAAUUAAGAGCACCAUAAAAUAUUUAUAGAUAUUUAGCAAGUUUCUUAUUAUAAAAUACAAUAUGGACAAAAGUUGCUUAACCAAACCUCCCAUCCGCCCUUUGAUUAUAUGAAAGUUUUUGCUGAGAAAAUACGUACAUAUGAUCAUUAAUCUCGCCCAAACGACAUUAACAUUGAUCUAUAAUGACAUGUAGUAUCUCAUGAGUUCUGCCCACUAUUACUACGGAAAAAGCCGGCCUUCCCUUCGCUACCCAAAAAGUUAGCUACUUCUAUUAAUGAUUCAUUAACUUAUAUACCCAAAAGGGAUAUGGGCGCCAGGUAAGGGCGGAGCUAGAGUUUCAUACGGAGGUUCGGCCGAACCCAAUAGCUUUGGUCCAAACUCUAUAUUUGUCGUUAAAAAUUUAUUGAAUAUGUACAAAUUAUUAAUUUAGAACCCAGUAACUUCGAAGGAAUAUAAUUUAAAUGCUGGCUUUUGCCCAAUCGAGUUUUACCAUAACAACUAGGCAGAGUUUAAUUCCUUCAAAAAUUGACUACUCAACCAUGUUAAUCGCAUUGAUUAAGUCGCCUAUUCCCGAAAUUUGAAAAGUUAAAGGGGAACAAAAAUAAGGUUUUAAAGCCUAAGAAGGAACGCAUUCGUGCUGAAUUUGAACGAGUCUGCUUCGAGUAUAGUGAUGCCAUGCAAUUUGUAAUUCAGCUCUUACGUAAUUUUCGUCAAAUUAAGAUUUUGUCCUGAGCUAUUGUCUACCUGACUUCCUUUUAACCAUUAUGUUCCUCUCUUUAUAAAUGGUCUUAGUCUAAUAGUCUCUCAUAGUUACGUUCUUGAGAAAACCAAGAUUCCCAAUUUGACCAUAACACUAUUAUUUUGUCAAGUAAUCUAUCCCGUGGGUUUUAGAUUCAGAUGAUGACAUUUUAAUCGCAAUGCCGUUCUUUAACCUUGAAUCUAGACAUGAAUAGCAGAUAAAACUGAGUAAAUUGAUUAACUCACUACAAGAAAACGGGGUUAUUACGGCGGUUAUUUUAGCAUAUAAUGGCGGUUUGAAACCGCCAUAAUACACAUUAACGGCGGCUUUUAAAAGCGCCACAAUCCCGUCUGCCAAAAUUAUAUUAUGGCAUUUUUGGGCAAACCGCCGUAAUUACAUGUGAAAACCGCCGUAUUUUAAAAACUGUGGCUUUUAUUUUUGCAUAUUAAGGCGGGUUUAAACCGCCAUAAUGUGUUUUUUCUGCUUCAGCCUUUUCACAAUCCUAUUUUUUUCACAUUUAGAGUCCUAUUUAUUGAAUGCUAUGCUUUGAAACUUCUGUAGCUCUUCAUAAUCAAUUAAACCCAAUAUAGAAUAUUAAAAAAGAAAAAAUAUUCAUUAUAUAAAACACAAGUAUACCAAAAUUACAUCAUCCAAAUAUUAAUGCUUCAAAGUGUAUUUCAACAGUAAUAUCCAAAAGAUUCAUAGUUGAUACAACAAAAUAAUCACAAAUUCACACUCAAGUAUACCAAAAUUACAUCAUCCAAAUAUUAAUACUUCAAAUUGUAUUUCCACAGUAAUAUCCAAAAGAUCCAUAGUUGAUCCUAUAAAAUAAUCACUAAUUCACACUUGGACGAUCAUCAUUGUUACUUUCAUCUAAAGAUCUUCUUAGUUCAACUAUUGAUGGUGCAUCACUUCCUAAAUCUGGUGCCUGAAAAAAAGGAAGAAAAAAUACAAUUAAUAAGCAAAUAACUAAAAUGUUAACAGGUAAGCUGAAGUAGUAGGACUGGAUUUACUAUGAGACUCUUGUUUAGUCUGAUAAAUAUACCAAUAAUAGUUUAUUUGUAUGAAUAUUCGAAGCCAAACGACUAAUCACUUUAAUGAGAGGUUUUGUAUUUUAUUUCUGUUUUUUUGUCAACUAUUAACUAUUUAAAUUCUCUUUACAAUUUGGAACAUGACCACAAGUAAAAACUUCUGAAAUUUUUUAAACCCCACACAAUCUUUUCUCUAUUAGCAGCCCAUCAUUUUCUUGGCCGCAAGUCCAGGUUUUAUUGUCACAGUUCCAUCAUUUCCAACCAAAGCACUGUAUUUAUCCUUCCUAGUAAAAUUAGUGCACUCAUACGAUAACGUUGCGGCAUAUAACCAUAAGAAAAGCAAGUAACUAAAAUUUUACUGUAGCAAGAGAACUUAUACCUGUGGAGGAGUGAAAAAUAAGUGAGCAAACUCCUCGGGGAUAUUCUCUAUGUUCCUUUCAUAUAAGCUAAUUAGUGCAUUUAAUUUUGAUUUCACAUCUGUUAUCUCUUGCUGCCACGCUGGAGUUGGAGCGGUAGUGCUAGAUGAACCCACAUAACCACGACGGUAUCUCGCAGAUGUCUGUUUGAAUGCUACAGUUGGAACUACACCCAAGCCUAAACUUCGAACACAGCCGGGGUGCUCGGGACCGAAUACUAUGCCAAGUGCAUCAUUUGGUGAAGGUUCAUCAAAACUUUAUGCUCUUUCAGUUCGAAUUUCUUCAAUUCUUUCCUACAAAAAUUGAAGAAGCAUAAACUGAGCAAUAUGAAGGUGCUUGGAACUUGGAAAUGACAAGAAUUAUACACUAAACUGCUAGCUAAAACAUGAAUCAAACCAUUAACAGAUCCAUAACACCACAUCCCAAAAUGAAAUGCAAAUUAUACCAUAUGGUCUAGCCAAAAUUCCCGUAGAAGCAGCAGAUCUCAUUUAACACUAAUCUGCUAACAUAACAACACUAAUCACCUCAUAUAUAUCAUUUCCGUAGAAGCAGAAGAUCUCAUUUCCAUAGAACACAAAAAAACCGCACUAAAUGACUUCAUAUAUAUCAACAUCGAAACUCACAGCAAAAAAUAUUGUCACCAACAACCUAUCAUGCAUCUCAGACUAUCAAAAUGCUAGUGGAAAUAUUUGUGGAAACCCACUAGACAAGCAAUACCAAUCUAAAAUUAAAAUAUAAUUUCACAGCAGAAGGCACCAAAAAUGUUACUUACCCCAAUCACCCUAGCCUCAUCAGUUACAUAACUCCCAUCUUUCCUUUUAUGAGUCUCAGUCCACAUUUUGCCUCGAUCAAAAGCUUUUCCCAUCGCCUUCUGAAAUUUUUAAAANNNNNNNNNNNNNNNNNNNNNNNNNNNNNNNNNNNNNNNNNNNNNNNNNNNNNNNNNNNNNNNNNNNNNNNNNNNNNNNNNNNNNNNNNNNNNNNNNNNNNNNNNNNNNNNNNNNNNNNNNNNNNNNNNNNNNNNNNNNNNNNNNNNNNNNNNNNNNNNNNNNNNNNNNNNNNNNNNNNNNNNNNNNNNNNNNNNNCGAAUAAUGUUAGUAAUUAAUUGAGAACAUAUAUCUUAUCUAAGUUAAGCGCUUAAACUACCAUUGCAUCCCUUCUUUUAGCCAAACUCAUAGCACCACAAGUAUGAGGAAGUUGAUUUUUUCGAAUUUGUGCAUUCUUGAAAUGCUCCUACAAAUUAAAUAGGUGAAAUUCUAUUAUACAAGACCAAAAUAAGCAAAAGCAGAAGCAAGAGAAGUAGUAGAGAAGCAGAAGCAGAAACAGAAGUAGAUACAGUAGCAGAAGCAGCAGCAGAAGCAAAAGAAGAAGCAGAUAGCAGUAGCAGAAGCAACUAUAAAGCUUGUUAACAUUUGUUCUAGCAAAAGAAGAAGCAGAUAACAAUUCUAAUAUCAUACUUAUCGCCUUGUCAGUCAUUCGACAAAGACACUUUAUAUGAUACAUUUUGAUUAGAAAGGACAAUUUGGAAUACUUCGUACACCCUUCGUAUAAUGGUUGAUUGCCAUCUUCGACCAAUUCAUAAAACUUUGUAUAAUCUUCAUUAUGCCCCUCAACGUGCCCUUCAUCAAAUAUUUCUUCUCUAUUUAUAUGAUUAGAAAACACACCAGGCUCGUUGACAUUGUUCCUGGUGAACCCAAACGCAUCAUUAAUCAUAAUUUCCAUUGGAUCUUGGGGCUGUAAAUUAUCUUCUAUGAUAUGGGUGCUCUGAGAAGUUUGUUGCACGGUUGCAUUUGAUUCUUCACCAUGCCAAUACCAAAAUGUGCAGUUUUUUGGGAAAGGUUUAAGAAUCAGGUGCUCUUCAACUACAUCUCUUCUUUGACACUUGUUAAAAUCACAUAUUGGACAAGGACACUUAAUUACGCGCCCAUCAACUUACCCGUGCUCAAAAGCAAAAUCCAAAAAUUGUCUUAGACCAUCUGCAUAUUCAGGUGUGUUUCGUGGUUUGCUAGUCCAAGAUUUAUCAAUUGGCAUGGCUAGAAAGGAAGACAUAAGAUAACAUCACAAUAUUAAAACUGAAAAGAUAGUUCAAAAGCUUAUAUGUGAAAAACAUAACCUCUGAAUAUAUCCACUUAAUUUGAAAAGCCAUUGCCAACUUAAUUAACAUGAAAAGUCACAUCACUUCUACAUUAAUUAAUUUUGAAUGCAACCUCAUAUUGUAAUCUCUUCAAAUGCAGAAUUGUUGAAUGUCAAAUACAGCUCUUUAAAUGGUAAACAAAUUAAGAAAUGGUCUAUUAAUACUUGAAACGAAAGUACUAUUUAGGUUUCUUGUACAGUUAAAGUUUAACUUCAGAUUAUUCCUGCAUUUUUGCUUUUAGUUUCAAAAUCCAUAAAGCCUAAGGAAAGACAUAACCUGCAAUAAUUAGUGAAUAUAUCCACUUAAUCUGAACUAAGUUUUUCUCUAAAAAAAUUUGCUCAUACACUGUGUCAAACAGUUAACUUACUACUUCAGAUUCUUACAGUUGGAUGGCAUAUCUUUCUACCUAUACAAUUGGUAACCGUUUGAUAGAUAAGUUGAACCUAUUAUAGCAGAAAGCUCUGCUAAUCCGCUAGUGACAAAUGAAAUAAUCAAUCUACUUUUUAAUAAAAAGAAAUCUGCUCAAAAGAAAGGACAAAAUUAAACUGAUACCUCUCAAAUGUUUUACUGUCGACGUCGAUCCCAAUAGCUUCAUCAACAGUUUUUGAUCUCUCGGCUACAUAUCAAGCCCAUAUAUAAUAUUUAGGUUAAUAUUAGCAAUAAUAACAAAUUAAAAUAUCAAAAUUAAGUGCAUGCAAUCAAAAUACCAAACAAAGCAGCAAACAUUUAAAGAAGUACCAAACUAAUUGAAUAGAAAAAUAACAAAAAAUGGACUCAAAAAAAUAAAGAACGGAAACCAUUAGAAAAUUAAUGUUUUUCUAGUAAUAGAUUACUAUUUUGGAUGUUAUAUAUUUAAUUGACUGAAUGAAUCAUAGAUUAUCGGACUGAGGAAAAAAAUUUAGAAAAAAUUGGGAAAAAUCGCUACAUGCAUGAACCCUAAUAAAGAGAAAAAGAACUUUUGGUACUAAACAUGAACCCUAAUCGCUACAUUACCUGAGAUUAUUGAAGCUGCUAAAUGAAUUUCAUGUACUUUUUCUAAUUUGAAUCUCGAUUCUUCUAACCGGAGAAACAGAUUGGGAGAAAUAGAAGAAUCUGAAGUUAGAAAAUUGGGAGUUCAAUUUGUGCUAAACUAUAAAUGUUUCCAGCGUUAUUAGAGGGGAAUGCAUUACCUCAGCUGCAAUUGUUUGGAGAUUGUGAGUUUUACAUUCCAGCAGCCUUCAAUAAGAAUGAAUCGGGGGAAGGAAUUGGGGGAAAUAGAAAUUGGGGGAAAGAUAUACGAGACUUAUGGAGGGAAAGAAAUUGGGGAAAUUCUGGAGGGAGUCUCAAAAUGUGAGGAGGAAAUACUAAAACUUAUUAAAGGAAUAGUUAAAAUAUUUUGAUUAAAAUAUUACGGCGUUUCUAACCGCCACAAUACGAAAUAAUGGCCACUAUAAAAAAAUUUAAUUCAGCGGCCGGUAAAACGUCAUUUUUAAUUAUAUUUUGGGGCGGUUAUUUGGAACCGCUGUAAUAUAACCGCCACAAUAAUUCCGAUUUUUUGUAGUGACUAUCCCUGUAAAAUUCCCCGAGAAUUGCAGUCAAUUUCAGCAAUGUGAUAAAUAAAACAAAAAAUCUCAAACAUAUUACGUCAAUAGAAACUAGCUAGCGUGUAAUACAUUACAUGAUAUCUUCGAUGCAUAAUAUCAGUUAGACAACUGUUGAAGCAAUUACAGACAUUAUAUAUAUAGAUGGUUAAUUGAAAAAGAAAGCUUACAAACUUGCUAAUAAUUAACCACACAACUAGCUAGAGAAGUUGCAGUGAAAUGGUUGCCUUCAAGACUAUGAAUAUAGUUAUAGCACCCCUUUUGUUAAUGCACUUGUUGGAGACAACUAAUGCAGCUGCUUCCAGCAACAUUACAACCAAUGAGGCCUGCUCUUUUAGCCUUCAAGUCUCAAAUAACUUUUGACCCCUUUGAAAUUUUGUCCAAUAACUGGACAAAAGGGACUGAAAUUUGCAAUUGGAUUGGCAUUUCUUGCAGUAGAAGGCAUCAUGAAAGAGUGACAGCAUUAGUCCUCAGAAGCUUGUGAUUUGGAGGUUCCGUUGCUAAAGAAAUUGGGAAUCUCUCCUUCCUUAGGAUUCUGGAUAUUGCAAACAACAGUUUCCAUGGCAAAAUCCCCUAUGAAAUCGGGCGUCUUAGGCGCAUAGAGUACUUGUCCUUGCAAAUGAAUAAUCUCACUGGUGAAAUCCCAGCAAGUAUUGGGUUGCUUAACAAGAUUGAUAUACUGGAUCUUUCUGAUAAUAAUUUACAUGGACAUGUUCCUUUCAAUGUCUCCCCAUCCUUAUUGAUCAUGGAUUUGGGACAAAAUGGUCUUACUGGCAAUAUCCCAACGGAAUUUUGUACUAGCGUUCCAAAUUUGCAGGGUUUAUCACUCUCAAAUAAUCAAUUAGUAGGCCAAAUCCCAAGUGGGCUGAAUAAAUGCACACAACUUCUUUAUCUUUCCUUGUCAUAUAAUCAGCUCACAGGUAACGUUCUUGGACUACAUUUUCUUUUCUUUCUUCUGUAUUUGGUUUUUUUCCCGUUGAAUCUUACUGUCUGGUGAGCAAGGUUUUCAGGAUGACAAUCCUAAGUGAAAUCGUUUUCUUGAUAAGAUCAUAGGAUAUUACAAACAACAACAACAACAACAACAACCCAGUAUAAUCCCACUUAGUGGGGUCUGGGGAGGGUAGUGUGUACGCAGACCUUACCCCUACCCUAGGGUAGAGAGGCUGUUUCCAAAUAGACCCCCGACAUCCUUCCCUCCAGAACUUCCCACCUUUGCUCUUGGGGAGACUCGAACCCACAACCUCUCGGUUGGAAGUGGGGGUUGCUUACCAUCAGAGCAACCCCUCUUGUCCAAAAAUGCCUUUUAUUAUAUUUAUUUCUAGACGUUGGCCGCGCCGUUUAUAUCUCUUAAAAUUGAGCUAAAUAUAAAUAAACCUAGGUCUAAUAAAGAAAACAUGGAUUCUGCGGGAUAAAUGUGAUCCCUCCUUCAUUAAUCAGAUGUCUCGAGUUCGAGAAUUUAGAAUGGAGAUAGAACUCCUUAUAGGGAGAGCUUUUCCCCCUUUAUUGACCCCCAUAGCACGAAUCUGAAAUAGUGGAGUCAGAUAUUUCAAAUACCGGAUAAAAGAAAACCUGGAUUAGAAUUAAGCUGAGCAUAAGAUGUGCCUAAGUUAGAUUCUUUGAACUCAAAUAUUGCAAAAUCAAAUUUAAAUUCAUUGAAUUCAUCCUAUAGUUCAUUUUAACAUUUUCACUUAUUUAUUGAGAAAAAAAAUAAUAGUAUCAAAAUUUAAAUAAAUGUCACUGAUAAAUAGCUUAAUUAGUUCCAUUCUUUCUUAAUUUAAGAGGAUGUGAGUUUGUUUAUCCUAAGUCUCAAUUGUCUGGCCAGCUCCCAAGUGGUUUAGACAAAUGCAAAGAGCUUGUAUAUUUAGCCUUAUCAUAUAACCUGUUCAGAGGUAAAGUUAUUGAGCCAUUUUCUUUCUUUGCUCCUUUUGGUUAAUGUUGACAAUAAAGGUUGCUAGAAUCAUUAGUCAAAACGUCUUGUAAUGUCGUAUUCUACAGGAAACCUGCCUAGUCAAAUGUGGAACUCGACAAAACUUCAAGAUCUAUUUCUUGGAUGGAAUAACUUAACAGGUACUAAUCAAGCAGUUGGCUCUAUGUCUAAAAAUGUUCUUCUUUAACAACUUUGAUAGGUUAAACUGAGAUUUACUAACUUCGAUAUAUAUUACUGGAAAAUUUUACGUUAACUCCUCACCUCGCGGCACUAGAGAUCUUUGAAAUUUCCAAACACUUAGAAAUCAUUUAAUAGAAAAUGUUAAUAAUUCAAGUUUCAGUAGCAAAAAAUGUUAGUGCAACACUUUGUUCUUCAUUUCCAAACAAGUUAGAACAACUACAUCAACCCCAUGUUAGUUUGGGUUGAUUAUAUGAAUCCUCAAUGUUCAUGUCGCUCCAUUUAGACCUGUCCCAAUCCAAUAUCCAAUCAUUCAUGUUUUCUUAUAGUAGAAUUUCUCACACGUACACUUUCUACUGGCAUUUAGAUAUUUAAUAAGAUUAAAAGCCUGCUAGCGAACAUUGAACUAAGUAAACAUACAAACAUAAGUAAGCCUUAAUCCCGACAAGCUGGUAUCGCCUAUAUUGAUCUUUAUCUUCCAUUCUGCUCUUGUCUAUGCUAAGUCUAAACGGAAUCCAAUAGAUAGUACAUAGUUCUUUUGCUUUCUUUUUACCCUAUGUCGGGUAUUUCAUGGUUCACUUUUGGUAUAUAAGCAACAGAGAUAAAAAUAUAGGAACAUGGUUAAAGUAUAGAUUAUAGAAUGAAUCUAAUUUCAUAUUGAUCUUCAAUAGAAUGUUGAAACAGUUACAAGGGUUGUUCCCUUCAGGAUAUGGACAUAAACGUAUAAUGCAUAAAACUUUUAUCUAGCUAGCAGUUAAGUGAUAGGAGUACUACUUCACAGUAUUGGAAUAUUUAGUGCAUAAUCACACAAUUUACAUAAAUUUUACAGGACAUAUACCAAGUGAAAUUGAUAACCUAUCAGCACUUCAAAGAUCAAGUCUCCGACGGAACAAUUUGGUGGGAUUUCUUCCACCAUCUAUUGGAAAUUUGUCGAAUCUAGAGAUGAUAGACCUAGGUGAGAACAGUUUACGGGGUGACAUUCCUCGGGAAUUUGAACAUCUUGUAAAUCUGAAAGAACUGUAUCUUAGCUCAAACAGAUUAUCAGGUGAAGUUCCAAGGUCUAUUUUCAACAUUUCUGGACUAGAAAAGAUUGCAUUUGUAGCAAAUAAUGAGCUUUCAGGAAUACUUCCCUCAAACAUAGGCCAUAGCCUUCCAAAUUCUUGAAGGCCUUUAUCUUGGGAGAAACCAGUUCAGUGGGCUGAUUCCUAGCUCCAUCGUAAAUUCCACCAAGCUUAUCAUCUUGAUCUUGGCCGCAAUCUGUUUACUGGGCAUGUACCUAUGAAUCUUGGAAAUCUACAACAGCUUCAAUUCAUCAGCUUGCAAAUAAACCAAUUGACAAAUGAUCCUUCUAUGCGCGAGUUAAGUUUUCUUACCUCUAUCCAAUUGCAAGUAUCUGAAGACCGUUCAAAUAGGAGGCAAUCAAUUCAAUGCAAGUCUUCCAAAAUUCCUAGGCUCAGGCAACUGGUCCUUUUCCCUUGAAAAUUUCAUUGCUGCUAAUAAUGGUAUCACAGGAAAUAUACCAACUAACUUCAGUAACUUGAGGAACCUGGGGUGGUUAAGCUUGGGAUAUAAUAAGCUUAUCGGUACGAUUCCACCAGAUUUGGGGAACUUGAGGAAAUUGCAAAUGUUGAAACUGGACAAUAAUAAUAUAGAUGGAAUUAUACCGACUAGCCUGUGUAACUUGGAGAACAUGUUUAUAAUUAGCUUGAGCCAAAAUCAGCUUUCUGGGGAAGUACCAAGUUGCUUUGGAAAUCCUUCUUCUUUAAGAGAACUCUCCUUAGAUUCCAAUGUGCUAAUUUCCAGUAUUCCACCAACUUUUUGGAGGAAUAAAGAUAUUUCAGUUGUCAAUUUAUCCUCCAAUUUUCUAAAUGGAUCUCUUGCACUAGAAAUGGGAAACUCAAGGAGUUUGCAGAUACUACAUUUAUCUGGUAAUCGGUUCUCUGGUCAAAUUCCAAGCACAAUUGGACAACUUCAAAAUUUGGUUAUCCUUUCAUUGUCAAUGAAUAUGUUAGAUAGGCCUAUACCUAAAUCGUUUGAAGAUUUAGUUUCAUUGGAAUACUUGGAUCUAUCCAGAAACAAGCUAUCCGGCAUGAUUCCCAUGUCCUUGAGGAAUCUUGAACAUCUCAUGUAUUUCAAUGUCUCGUACAAUGGGCUCAUGGGUGAAAUUCCAGAUGGAGGGCCAUUCGUAAACUUUACAGCUGAAUCAUUUAUGGGUAACCCUGCAUUAUGUGGAGCAUCCCGGUUCCAUGUGAUGCAAUGCAGAGUCAGUAGUCCUAAAAGACCAAAAAAGAAGAGGGUUGUAACUUUUGUUCUUGCAUCAGUUGCCUCAGGAGUUGCAAUGACCAGCAUUUUCAUCGUUUGGUUACUGAAAUAUCGAAAAAGGAGUAGGGAACUUCCUCUAGUGGAUACAUUUGGUCAAGUACAUAUGAGGAUUUCGUACCAUGAUAUUGCUCAAGGGACAAACAACUUUGAUGAAGCAAACUUGAUUGGGAGGGGGAGCCUUGGAUUGGUGUACAAAGGGACACUUGCAGAUGGAAAGGUUGUGGCAAUCAAGGUAUUCAAUGCAGAAAUGCAACAUGCAUUCAGAAGUUUUGAUGUGGAGUGCCAAGUUCUACGAAGCAUUCGACAUAGGAACCUUGUUAAGGUGAUAAGUAGUUGUGCGAAUUUUGAUUAUAAAGUGUUGGUGCUAGAGUACAUGCCCAAUGAAAGCCUUGAUCGUUGGCUUCACUCUCCCGACAAAUUUUUGGAUUUAACUCAAAGAUUAAAGGUGAUGGUUGAUGUGGCUUCUGCUAUGGAGUAUUUACAUGGAGGUCAUUUGUUUGUAGUCGUUCAUUGUGAUUUGAAACCAAGUAACAUACUUUUGGAUGGAGAUAUGGUGGCGAAAGUGAGUGACUUUGGGAUAUCCAAACUUCUAACAGCUGAGACGCUAAUAGCACAUACCAAAACCUUGGGUACUAUUGGCUACAUGGCACCAGGUAAAUGUUACUACCAAGUUAAUUUGAGUAAAUUUUAAACGACGUUAAUUAUUUUCAUUAAUGGGGGGAUUACAUGAAUUUUUUGGCAGAGUAUGGUUCAGAAGGCAAAAUCUCAACCAAGGGAGAUGUUUAUAGAUUUGGUAUUCUGUUAAUGGAGAUUUUGACAAGAAAGAGCCCUGUGGAUGAUCUAUUUGUCGGAGACUUCACCUUGAAAAAAUGGAUAUGCCAAUCAUUACCAAACCGAAUGGUGGAUGUAGUGGACAUUAAUUUAUUUUCACUGGAUGACGAAAAUUUUAUGUCGAAAGAGAGCUUCAAAUCAAUCAUGGAAUUAGCUUUUGAAUGCACAAAUGACUUGCCUCAUGAGAGAAUUAGUAUGGAAGAUGUUAAUGUUCGACUCAAGAAGAUCCUAACUCAAUUUCUGCAAAAUGUAAUGACAAACUAAACGGUAGUGCUGAAGUCUAUAAUGGAAUCAUUUCUUCACGGGCAAAUUGAAAAUAUUUGAUAGAACUUUAAGAGAUUGAAAAUCUUUCACUUCAAUUGUUUCAAAAAUUUGUUUUGUGUUUAUUCUUCUUUAUGUGUGAAGUUCUUUGUGUACGUAUCAGCUUUCUUCUUUUCCUUUUUUCCUUCUUCCUAGCAUCAAUCUACAACCUAUGGAUAAUAUGUGUGUUCAUAUAUAAUUAUGUUUCUUUUUUUAAACCGAGAAAUCCACUGAGUAUAAUGGGGCACGACUCGAAACUUGGUGGAUAAUGGGCCCGCUUCUAUAUCUUUCUCCACACAAAUACUACUAGGAUUUUUGUGAGGGGUAGGUUUCGAACCAUUUCUCUGCACCUAACCUACCAUAUAUGAUUAUAUUUUUUAAUGACAACAAGUCGAUAUUGUUCACAGAAAUUCGAAUGUUUAUUCAUCUGUAAUCAGUAAGAGAUCUUGUUAACUGAUACCCCUGGAUAAAUUCUCAGUGCAUUGGGUGGCCUGAAACUACUUACCACACAAUACAGAAGAAAGUUGCAAUUUCAUUAACACUAGCAUAAUUAUGAAAUAUUAGCUGAUAGAAGCAGUAGUAAUGCUAAAGGAACAUAUCAAUUAACACACAAAACACUUGCACUACUUUAUGUGAGGUGCAUAGAUGAAGCAUUUGCCAAAAAUGUGUAUUAGAUGUCCAUCUUUUGCCGCUGCAAGGAUUAAAGAAGGAAGGAAACAGUAAGAUUACCUAGGAACCAAAACUGUUUUGGACAAAUGAAUAAAUAGAAAUUAAGAAAAGAAGCAUAUUACUUGAGCACUUCACUACAAUUUGACAACUUAACAUCAAGGAUCUAGCCCUGAUCAGCAAAUAUGGAUUUCAUGAUCGGGAGUUACACCAUGAACACGCCUCGAACAUAUGCAAUACCCAAUAUAAGUUUAGAGAACUGGAAACAACAGAGUGAUUUUUGCACUACAACUGAGAGAAACAUCUGAGAAACCAGAAAGAGAUUUUCUGAGACACCAACAAUACAGACGAAUACCGCUGGAAACGUAAGUCAAUCAAAUACUGACGAAUCACGAUGGAAAUGUAUUUAAAGCACAAAAAGAGUGCCCCAAAUCUAAUUACACUCUUGAUCAUACAAAAUACUAGUAUAUUAGAAUCUUAACUAGAAUUAUACAGGGGAUUGCAGUGAUUUGAAAGCCUAAAACCAGAAAAGCGACAGUUUAAGAGUCUGAUUUGGCCUUAUACUAUGCCUUAUUUAUCCCCCAUUUGAGUUUCUUAUGAAAAAUAUCAUCACCUUUAUACAUUAGUUGCACAUUUAUCCUUACCCGUUAAAAGCACCUCUCUUAGAUUUUUAAGGAGCACGGCAUCCUCUUAUUGGACCAACUGACCGGCCCCAACUCUUAAUUAAAACCCGCCCGAUCCAACCAUUAAACUUAGACCCAUCGAUAAAAUUUAGUCCAUUUUCCCUCGAGCUUUUCAUCUCCCCCAGAAAGAAAAUACCUAGGGUUCAUCGCACCCCUAUUAUAAUCAAUUCAUUCCACAUGCUUUCUUCUAUAACUGCAGUUAAAGGUAAUUGAUUUCUUCAAUUAAUUGUUUGUUUAAGCUGUUAUAUGUAUUUUUUUCUUAAAUUUGCCGCGAAUUAGUCACCUUUAAGGAUUUCGUUCUUUAAUCUUGUUAUGGUUUUGAUUAUGUGCUUAAAUCUUUAAAGUUGACCGUUAGUUGUGUUGUUUAUGAGUGGAUUUUGUUUGCAUGGGUUGUCUAGGUGGGUUUUCUGUUAGGGUUUAUUCGAGACAAAAUUUGUUUUUGGAUUUUUGUGUAGUUUGUGGUCCAUGUGGUUUUGGCCUUUAUUUUUAUUUAACGAAAAAAUUGGUGGCAAAACUGAGAUUGUGGGGUCUUAAGUUUGGGGUUUAAGGUAUUUUUUGUCGGUGUAUGGUUGUUGACCCUAACUAAAUAUUUUAAAGUUAGUGGGACUUCACUUUCUUAUUGUAUGUGGUCAUACUGUUGCAUAUUAGUUUUGUUUUCUGGUUCCCCAUGUUUGUCUUUCCUUGUGGUCGAUUAAUUUAUUGUUUGAUAACAUUUUCCUUAUUGUAUAACAAUCAUUUUUAGAGCUUUCAGUUUAACCUUUUCUUUAUAGAUUUUCUUUAUUGUUUAACAGUUUAGCAGCCUUCAUUUUUUAACAGUUUAACAGUCUUUCAGUUUAACCUUUUCUUUAUAGAUUUUCAUUUUAACAGUCUUCAUCUUUUUAGAGUUUUCAGUUUAACAGUCUUCAUUUUUUAUAGCUUUUCUUCAUUGUUUAACCUGUAUUUCAGUUUGUUGCCAUAUUCAUUGCACAUUCUUGUUCAAUCAUAACAAUCAUUUAUUUUCUUAACUUUUCAGGAUAUUAAAAAUGACUUUGGUGGACAUAAUGUUCCAUCAUGGUGGGGAUUGGAUCAGAAAACCCUAUGUGUUAUAUUCAAAGAAGCUUGUUCACUCUUGGGAAGGUUAUGACUCUGACCUUAUUUCCUUUAUUGAUCUAGUAAAUGAGUACACUGAGGAAUUGAUAUAUGUUGGUGUUCAACAACUAAUUGUAAAUGGACCUACUGGUAACUAUUAUGAAGUAGUGGAUGAUUUUGGGAUAAGACAUUUAUUGUCUUUAAUAUCUGAUGAGUUUAAGUGUCUUAACUUCUAUGCAGUAGAUGAAUGUGAAUUAUCUGUGAAUGUUCCUAAUGUUGUCCAUUAUUCUGAUUCACAUCCAUCACUAACUGAAGUUGGUAUAGAUUGUAAUAAGGUUAGUGUGAGAGUGAGAGUGACAAUGACAGUGAGGGUGAUGAGGUAGGGUAUGAUUAUGAGGAAUCACAAACAAUUGCAUGUCAAAAAAAUAGAGAAAUUGAUGUUGGACCGCACAAUUACAAGGAAUUGUAUAAGGGUAUGAGCUUCAAGGACAUACCUGAAGCAAAAA